UCAGCUACUCUCGUCCUUACCAAAGAUCUGACUCCAAAUUGUUGAAUGGCCAGGUUAUAAAGAUGUUCAUUGUGUGGCACACGAGUCUAUUAAAUAUCUCUUUAAAUUGUCGUCGAUAAUUCUCAGUCUUUAAAUUAUUUCGUAGUUAGCGUAUGCCUGACCACUUGCUAUCAUUUUAUUUUCGUAAGAACUAUUUCAAAUUAAAAACAUAUUUGAAGUUUUGCUAUUUGCCUUUAUUUUUUAAAGAAAGGAAAAAAGAGAACCUAGAGUCUCGUUAGUCAAUUUCAACGUGGAGACGUCAAUUGCAACACCGACGGAUAAUUGACUAAGUGUGUUAUUUGGCGUUACUCGUUCAAUUGUCAGAAAAUACUAUUCCAAUUCCGGCCCCCCUUCUUAUCCCCAAUUUUUAAAUUUGAAGGCUCAUAAAUCAUUGGAAUUUGAUGUUUGUCAUGUUCGUGGAAACGUGAAUGUAAACAACAAUGUUCAAGUCGAGUCAGUUCGGGAUAGAGUUAUAUGCUGUCAAUUCGAAGAUAUCCGAAAAUUUGAGGGUUAUCGGUGAUACUCCGACCACCUUCCGUAAGUAAUACCAGUUUGAUUAAUCGAAUUGUGAUCAAGUGGUUUUAUGUACUGAUCAAUAGCAGAGAAUGCUAGUAAUUACAUAUACAAGAUAAAUUCUGUCGAAUUUACUUGCUCAAUUUACCCCUACGAGUUGGAGUUGACCGCGGGAAAUUAAUAUACACGACCUCAGAAACAAUUUAUUUUGUCUGGAAAUUGCUUUGUAUGUAUUUGAAUAAUGGCGUUGGAGACAGAGUCGUUCAGAUGAUUUCAUGGGUGACGUAAUUUGCAUGGAAAUAAUUUGUUCUUUUUUUACUUAGGUUUUGUCUGUGCAUGAAAAGUCGAUGUACGUCUUUUUCAAGCUGACCGUCACUUGGAAGCAGACACACUACUCGGUUCCAUUCAAUUCAAAACACAUAGAAUUUACAUAUUCACUACACCAACCAUGCGCGAAGAGCUAGCUCAUGAGCGACGCUAUUUCUAUUUUUCCUAACUCAUACAAUCAUGUAUUAUAGCAUGGUAUGUACUUCGAUCAUGAAGUCCAUACGCUACGGAGUUAUCGAUUUUUCGAAUUCUGCCGUCAGUCUCCUCGAUCCCCAUUUACCGCAAAGGCCAUGAUUUGAUUGUUUGUUCCGAACACAACAUGCCAUCGCGAGCAAAAGGUUGGUGGCCUAUUGCGGUCUUUUUGUUGUUGUGAAGAUAGACGAGAUAAGGAUGUCAUUACGAGAGAUAGAAAAUAAAAUAAAUACAAUAUCAAUGUUUAUAUACGCUCCAGAAAGUCCAUGUUGCUGGAUUCAAACUCGGUACUUCCAAAUUGUCAGCACACAACACAACCAACGCUACUCUAGGAAGAUGUGGGCCAUGUGGCCGGUUGUGGUCGUGGUUAGAAAUUGUAAACGAGUGCUAUAAAAGCUAACAAUGAACCUCCUCAAUCAAUUCGAGUUAUCGAGGUGCAAUGAUUCAUGACAUGAUAUUCAAUCACCAUUCGUAGACUUAUGUUGGAUACAAUAAUACAAAUAUCAUUAUGAACUAAACCUUUAUGCUUUCGUUGAUCAACCAGUGCAAAACAUAAAAUAAAGACUUUACAUUAUAACGAAUUUUCGUCCGACAUUGAUCACUAUUAGCCACUAGGAGCAGUCAAUGAACCGACUAGUUUCAGUCGUCGGAAGCAAGUGGGGAAACUGAAGACCCAAAAUACAACACAUGCAUGCAUGAACGGAUGAAGAAUGUAGUGGGAAAUUUUGAAGAGAAUUUCGUCAAAUUCAGUGGAUUGACCCACUUGAAUUCCUAGUUCCCUACUUGCUUUCGUUAAUUAUUAAUUAGUAUCCAUUGAUAUGUGAUAAUGAGUUUGGUUUUUACAAAAAAAUGGGGGUUAAUUGUUUAAUAAUUAAGCUUAAUUUCCCCGGUCAAUAUCGAGUCCUCCACGUCAAGAAUUGGGUCAAUUUCUCUCCUCGUGUGACGAAGAGAAUGACCUCAUGCCCUUGCGUUUACCUACCUUUGCCCCGUCAUCGUUUGAAGACCAAUAUUUAGCGGCUGGGAUCAACUUGUUAGCUUUGGUUAUGUUCAGUGACUGUUUUGUAGUUUCCUAGAGCUGGUAGUUUUUUGUAAUUAGUUACGUAGUGGGUCUAAGGUAGUCGGAAAUUCUGGUUAGAAAUUUAAAUUUGAAAAAUAAAAAUUAAUUAUGUAUAUGAUUUAGCUUGAGGUUAUAUAAAUUUGAAAAUAAGCUAGUCGAAACUUCAAAAUACUUGUAUAGAAUAGCAUGGUUCUGAACCGGCAAACCGUGGUAAUCUAACCAUUAAAGCAUUGCAAUUACAAUCUAAAUAGCAAUGUAAAUUUGUCCGACUUAAAAAAGUACACAAUUAAACUAAAAUUAGGCCUUUUGAGAAACAACCCCAAAAAGAAUAUGUGAAGGUUUGGACCAAAGCGAACAAUAUUAUAUUAGUCAGACCGAUUGAUAGGUUGGCGAUCCUAACAAUGCUAUUAGAGCCUAGUUGGCAUGCAUAGAGAUGGAUCACUGAAGCUAGAUGCAUGUUCAAGAUUAAUAAGGCGAUUGCAGUCUACCUGAUGAUGUGCGGCCAGACAAUAUAUAUCGUUGAUAUUUAACAGUAAUAUGCCGGAACAAAUGACACAUAUUGUAUAAUCCUUAAUUGGUUUGAGGAGAGGAUCGUUGAGUUUACAAUCCAAAUACUACAUCAAUAAAUUAAUGCAAAAUUCUUUAUAUAAAACUGGAAAAAAAAAAUCCACCAACCAAAUUAGACUUUGGCGCUUUUAAAGCACCAGAAAAGUCAGCAUAGUAACCGCAGCCGGAAACACAGCGGUGGUGGGAUAGGCGAUAGCUAGAAGUUUGACGCCGGACGUUUUUCUCUCCUCCAAGUCCGACCAAGUUGAAUUCAUAAUGACAUCACCCGCUACAUCAUCCCCCAGAAAAAGGAUAUAUAGGCUGUAACGUAAGUUGUGUUGCGGCCUAUAAAUAAGUCCGUAACCACCAAGUUAAUACGUAACUGUGGCAAAUGAAAACGAAACGAGAUUGAUAACAACCCAGUUGACUUACACCCACCAAGACUGAUUGGAUCAUUAACCUAACUCUAAUGGACACUCCGUCGUUAUAACUUACACCAACAUGUCUUUAUAGUAACUGUGAUUACAAAUUACAGGGGUUUGACUUUUGUUUUUGUUUAUUAUUAGUCAACUUAAACAUAAUAUUUACAUUAAGUAGUACGUUUCCCAAGUUCAGAGGGGACUUUAUGGUAACCCAUUUGACUUUGCGGCUUUGUCUCGAAAUCCUGACCCAUUUACAAAUCUAGCGGGGUGAUAGAAAUCGAGAAAUAAAAAUAGUUGUUAAAGUUGACUUUAUAUUAUAAUUUUAGUGAUUUAUCAUUUGCUAAUUUGCCUUGCUAAUAUUACUAUAUGUUGCUAAAUGACACAUUUCAUUACUAUAUAUAAUAUAGUUUAUACUUGUUGAAUUACACUUUCAUGACAUUAAAUAGAUUUAGACUUAUUGAUUCUAAAAACUAAAUCGGAAACCGGUUCUAUAUAUGAGUUUUAUCGGUUCAUUUUUGAUUACUUUUUAACUUUAAAACUAUUAAUUAAUCCGAGUCAACUUUUCGAUAGACAAUAUUGAUGUUUUCUAUAGCUUCUACAAAAUAUAAAUAAAAAUUCAUAUAUUGAAAGUAAAUUACACCGCCAACUCCUCAUCCAGCUACACGUGAGCUUGCAAGUACAAACUACGCGCACAAAACAUAUUUCUCAAACCAUUGGCCGAUUUAAAAUAAUAAUAUUUAAUUGCAGUCUUUGCUUUUCUCGGUGGCUUGACUUUGACUGUUCUGGUUCUUCUUUCAAUGCAAACAAAACAAAGUCAGAUUAUUUGCCGACCGUGGGAAAUCAAAUUUCAAUUCAACGCGACCCACGUCUGCCGUUUUUCCUUUCUUCAUAAAAAAGUACUCUCCUUGUGAAAUUAUUUCAACUAUAAUUUUGAUUUCACGAUUUUCACUUCGAAUUUGCUAAGUAGUUAAGGGAUUGUACAUAUAUGUUAAUAGGUCGGGUUUAAUUAGAACUCUUAACGAGUGCUCGCAUGUCUCAAUUUAAGGUGGAAGAGGUCUAGGUUUCAAGAAAUCAAUCGUGAAGUAACCAAGCAAGGAUGGUUGAAUAUUGACGGACUCUUACCGCUUUGUGGGUUCAUCUACGUAUUAAAGAGCAUUCGCUUCUCUAGAGGUGAGUUCUUAUUGGUUGGUCGGGGGAGUUCGACCUUCUUGAAUUCGGACCCUUGCCAAUAGAAGGACACCAUCAUCCGCUAUACUUCUUUUCACGUUUGAUCACACAAGAGCUAUGGAUAUAUAUGACUCUAAUGCUUUGUGGGUUCAUCUAUAUAUUGAAGAACAUUCACUUCUCUAGAGGUGAGUUUUUAUUGGUUGGUGGGGAGAGCUCGAUCUUCUUGAAUUCAGAUUUUUGUUAAUAAAAGAACACCAUCAUCCGUUAUAUUUUUUUUCCCCGUUUGAUCACACAAAAGCUAUUGAAUAUAUCCCACGAAUUUUGUUGGUGUGCUAGCUCGAUGAGUGGAAGUGAAAGUUCUUCUAAUCUAAACUUCUCGCCUGCCUAUCAUGCUAACAGGAAGAGAAAAAUAAAAUAUAUCUUCCCACACAUAUUGAGGAUGGAAAUGAGCAUAGUAGAUUAGAAAUUUCCGUCCUCCCAAAGUCAAUUUUUUUGUGUGGUGAUGCACAAAGAAAUUAUUAGCUAGUCGAAGGAUCACUCGAUUGAUCCGAUCGCUUCUGACAAUUAGAUAACCAAACGUUCAACGGAUAUUGAAUACGUUGGAUUAUAAUGGUCAUUAUCCCUUGAAGAUAUAGACGGACCGGUUAAUCAUCAAGAGAUCAACUAUACCUAGACCCGAAAGAUACAUACUCAAAACUCGGUUAAAACACAGUCCGACCUGGAACCCACCCCUAACUUCUUCCAAACCCAGAGACGAGACUCAAGAGGGUUGAAAUCUAGCACGAAAUAGUUAAUUAUAAGGCAAGCAGCCUAACACGAGGGCGACAACAAUGCAGUGUAGUCUCCAAUUAACAGCUAAUGGCAAACAGCAUCAAUUUGAAGUCUCUUCUGUAGUCUUCUUUCUUUUUAUUAUAUGGUCAUUUUACAGAGACACGUGACCAUAAAAACUAUGUCGAUAUUAUCCUUUUCGAACCAAAAAUCUUUCAUAUUUUUCUUCUCCUUACAAAAAGCUUCAUCCUUUAUAUUAAUGAACUUUCCCCCAUUUCCCAUCUUUCCACCAAGCUUCCUUCCUUGUUCAUAAACGAGUCCACGAUAGCUGUCAAUCCAUCCUUUCUCCCCUCCCUAUAUAUACCCUUCAUCCCUUCCUCUUCAGUCCUCCAUCUGAAGAAACGGGAAAAAACAGACCCACAAGUUAACUUAUCUCGCCGGAAGUCACUCAUCUACUAAUCAUCUCCGGUCAACUUCCGAUGGAUUAUUCUUCUUCAUCGAUGGUCGACAUUUCUCUUGGUCUCAAUCUCAACCCUCGGCCGCGGAAAGACGACCGAUCCCCGGCGGCUGCUGCAGUUUCAGUUAAAAACGAGUGGCUGAGCUGCGGCGUACCGUCUGCUCCUUCUAAUUUCAUGGAAUUGGGGACGAGGGUGGCUUCUCCUCCUGUCAAGGAAGAAGUGGUGAGUUUUUCUCUAGUUUUUUUUAUUUGGGUUUCUGAAUCUAUGGAUCGACGAAUUAGAAAGUUGACUUUUUUUCCCUGCAGAUGACGGUGAGGGAGGCGGGAGCUUUGGUGGAGGAAUUGAACAGGGUAAGCGCGGAGAACAAGAAGCUGACAGAAAUGCUAACGGUGAUGUGCGAGAAUUACAACGCGAUGAGGAAUCAGUUGAUGGAAUAUAUGGCCAGGAGUAAUAAUAACACUACUAACAACCCUCCGGAAGAGGCGGCGGCGACGGCGGAAGUGAAGGAACAGAGUCCUUCGUCGCUUUCCUCCAGGAAGAGGAAAUCUGACGCCGAAGAGAGCAGCUCCACCGACGACGAUGAAGAAUCCGGCAAGCGGCGGCGGCGCGAAGAAGAAGUUGUUAAGUCUAAGAUUUCUAAUGUUUAUGUCAGGACUGAGGCAUCCGAUACAGGACUUGUAAGUUUGACAAAACCCUAAGCCUAAUUCGUGUCGAAUUUUUUGAUCUGGGAAAUUUGGGAAUCAAAUUCUGAACCCUAAUUCAUCUACGGAAUUGCAGAUUGUGAAGGAUGGAUAUCAAUGGAGGAAAUACGGACAGAAGGUCACCCGGGAUAAUCCUUGCCCCAGAGCUUACUUCAAAUGCUCUUUUGCUCCCAGCUGCCCUGUUAAGAAGAAGGUACCCUUUCGAAAACCUCCCGAAUUGAUUCCAUUUGUCAAGAAUCUUUGUAUCCUAAUAAUUCGAGUUGUUGGGAAAGAGGUUUAAAUCGACGUUUAAAAUCAUUCCCCAACACACCCCUUAAAUCAAAACUUCAAUAAAUCAUGUGCAAGAAUGAGGAUUUAUCAGAAUUUGAAAGGCUGUUUCUUCGGUCUUUAAAGAUUCUGAUAUCAUGUUACCGUGUGUUCAGGUUCAAAGGAGUGUUGAGGAUCAAUCAGUAGUAGUUGCAACAUAUGAAGGAGAGCACAACCACCCAUCAUCAGCAGCACCAGAGGCAGCAUCAACAUCAAUCUCCAGCGGCCGAAACCUAACCAUUACUGCUGCUGCUUCCGGAUUGACAACCACAGUGAAGAGCAGUAGCCCGAGCAGCAUGGUCAGGAAUGGAUCAGGUGGUGGUGUUGCGGUAAAGAACAGUGUUCCUGUAGCUCCAUCUCCGAAACAAGGAGUUGACGGUCCGGAAGUAAGGCGGUUCUUGGUGGAACAGAUGGCCACUUCAUUAACCAAAGACUCCAACUUCACAGCAGCUCUCGCCGCAGCCAUUUCUGGUAGAAUGCUUCAACAGAGCCAUAGUGAAAGGUGGUGAAGUACUGAUCCAGGCAAUGUAAUUUUAGCUUUUUCUAGGAUUCUUCUGGCAACUCUGUUUUUGUGAUCAAUGUGUAGAUAUAUAUUAUAUAUUCCUGAGUUGUACAACACAGAGAAGAAAGAGCAGAUAAAUGGUGUUAUAGAUCAGUAGAUUAGCUGGGAAAAAAAAACUGUUAUAAGUUAUAACUUAUAAAAUUGCAUCGUUUUGGAGCAAAUUUCGCAUCAGAAUUCAUCCCAAAUUUCUUAUCUGAUGAUCAAUUGGUGGUUGUUUGCUUGCUGCAACUUGUUUUCCGCCUAAACACCAGCUGCUGUCCUAGUUGCUUCAGAAGAAAAGGAAAAUCAGCUGUCCUAAAUUGACUGCUUAGCUGCAAACUUGUGGUCAAAGUCGGUUCCUUUUUUAACGUUUGUAUCUUCAUUUCCAGCUCAAAGACUUAUCGCCAGUCAACAUCAUGUAUGUCUUGGUCUUUGAUUAGUACAAAUUAAAACUCUCAGUCAUUUUCUUUUAUUAAUUCACUAUUUUCUUUUAUGAGUGAAAAAAAACACACGAUGACAUAAUGGGGCACAUGUCAUGAGUAGAAUUUCACUUCUUCAAAAGAGGUAUUUUUAACUAAAAACACUGUAAUUUCUCCAAAUAACUGCAAAUUCAGAGAUAUUAUGAUCAUCCUUAUUUUUAAACAGUUCGAUCAGACUAAACUCUAUGGACAUUCCUCUUACGAGGACGAUUCACUUAUCAUCAUAAAUUACGAUUAAUAAUUGCUUUAUUGUUAGCACUUCUAGUUGGCAUCUCACAAGCCAGAAAAAUGGCUAAAAUUCGCUACCCUAAAUCAUAUAUACUCUUUUAAGUCUUAACCACAAACAAGUUGUCAAUAAAGUUGUUUAAUGUUUGGAGUUGCCUUGAUAAAAGUCACAUUUAUAGUCUACAUAUACAUCUACCAACCUCCAAUCAAGAACUAAAACCUCCUCUUAAUUAAGACGAUUAUAGCAAAAUUAAGAUGAUCUAAAAUCUUAAAAGAAAUCUUAAAUAAUAUAGGUUAAAUUCAAAAACCACACGAAAAUUUAAAAAUUUUACCAUUAAAACCAAAUGACCCUAAAUCGUUGGCUUAAAUUAGUCCACCCCUAAUUUUCUUUUUUUGUUUGAAUUUGGGAGUGAGUAGAUGAGAAGUCUUUACUUGGUGAUGGUGGAAAUGACCGAAGGAGGAUGUGAAAGGGCAAUAGGAGAGCCCCUAAAGACAGAACAGAACCGUCAAUGUUGACUUUAAGAAUGUGAGUUAGUUCCAAGGUCUAUGGUUUCUGUCUGGUCUGGUGAGUCUCAUUUGCAGGGAAGGGGAGGAGUAAUCGCAUUUUGCUUUGUCUUUUGUCCUCUUUACUUCACUGGUGGAUGUCGAUAGAUAUUGUGUUUUUUUCUUCCAACUAAAAGUCACAAUCAUGGCUUCAUAUUUCUCGACUCUUCUCCCUCUUUUUUCUUCCAUGAAAAUGAAAUUCACUUGUAAGACACAGACCAAUUUCCAUUUGGAUAACAGGAAGAAGACCUGCAGCCAUCUUUGGUCUUUGAUAACAACUUGCCAUUAUAUAAAUUUCUAUUGGAUGAAUGGGACAGUAGAUAACAAUCCAAGAGACACGUCGACCUUAUGACAUUCUGGUUGGUCCCACAUAGGCGGUUGACGAACCGAACGGUUCGGUGUUAGGUUUAGUAAAAGUUUGUCUGUAAUGCGAUUAAAAUUGAGUCAAACUUGACAUAAAGUAUGUUUGAUUUUAUAGGCUCGCGACAGGCUCGAGUUCGAGUUUGAGAGCCCACUUGAAUACAAACUUGAGUAUAUGACUCGUUAGUGGACUCAAUAAUGUAAUGCAACAUGUAUUUUUUUAGAUUUAAGUAUGUUAAUUUUCAUUGAAAAAAAUAAGAACUUAUAAAUUUUAUAUUUUUCUUUUUUAGCUCGACUCGUUGAUUAGUUUUAAAAUCAGUUUAAAGUAGGUACAUUAGGUACAUUGACAAUUUUUAAUGACUUAAAGUUUGAGUUUGGCUCGUCAAUGAUAGCUAAUAAGCCAGACUUGAAUAGGCUCGAGCUCGCCUAAAACAUAACAAGUCCAGGUUGAGUACAGUAAAGUUCAAUUCGACUCGGUUUGUGAACAAUCCUAAUUAUUUUUACGGUAGUUUUUUUUUUUUGGGUAUUAUUUUUUAUUUUUCGGUUAUGAGUUUGGUUUUACCGAAACUGAACUGAUUUUCACCCUAGUUAGAAUAGUAGAAUAUUCAUGCCCAUCCACUGCGAACACAGAUUACGAACACUGAACACAGAUUCAACCAGUCAAAAUGGAUUGACUCUGAAGAAUAUUUUGACAGCAGUCCUACUUUAUUCUCCUCCUGUUUUAUACCAUAUUAACAAUUCCUCCUUCACCGCCCUUUGUAAUUGUAGCUAAUCACGUUCAUUGAACUUCCUGCUUAAAUAUUAUUCUUCUGGAGAACACGUUUAUUCUUAUUAAGCUCGCAGUUCUCAGUUUGAAAAAUUGCAGCUCCAUUGAAGAAAUCUCAGACUAAACAUCCAUUUUUGACCCAACGGUCGAAUGGAAAAUGAAUCCUUUUAAAGUUCCCCUCUUUCCGCAAAGGUUGUUUGUUAGGCCUGCCGAAACAAAAGCAGUUGUAUAAAGCAGCGCAGAAAGAAUCAAAUGAACAAUCAACAACAGCUGGAAAUAUUGGAUUCUUAAAGACUCUGAACAUUGACAUAAAACAAACAAUUACAACAUAUAUAGAACUAGUUAUAUACACAAGCUGCCGUGUCACAUUUAUUCUGACUACUUUUACAACAGUAGAAAAAAAUAUGCAGAUGCCAUGACAAUUCUGGAUUCAUCCUACAUUCUAUUCUGCAAAUGGUUGUUCGGCUUCUUUCUUUGACUUGAGAUGAAUUUCUGCAGUUUCCUUGGCCUCUGCUAUGCUGCAUUCAUGGUGUCUGUAGCAGCUGAUGAGAUGGUCGUUCGUUAGACCGGCUACUUGCAUGAACGAGUAUAUAACCGUCGGUCCAAUACAUCGGAACCCUCUCCUCACGAGAUCUUUACUUAUCACUUCUGCUUUUGAUGUCUUGACCGGAACUUGGCGGGAGUACCUGAAUGAGUUUGUGGUAGCCUUUUGGUUCAUAAAAUUCCAGAUGUACUUGUCAAAUGAUCCAAACUCCGCCCUAACCUGUAUAGUCCAAGUCAGUUAAACAACGACGCGAAAACUUGUGUAUUCAUUUCCCAUUUUAGUUCCUCUUUAUUAUAUUCCACCUGUCGUGAAUCGUUGCAUCCCAAUAACUCGAGUUCUUGGGAGAGAGUUCAGAUUGACCGGCCAUUAUAUUAUUCAUCAACACAGCUUCCUCAAAGGGAAGCUCUCAAAAGAGCUGAGGGUUGCACAAAGGAUUGGAGGUUACCAAGAUUCAAACCUAUGAUACCAUGCCAAGAACAAUUGCAUCCCAAUAACUCAAGUGAGUUGUUGGGAGAGGGUUCAAAUUAGCUUUUAUAUUAUUCAUCAACACCACCACCAAGUACCUUGCAAAUUUGGCGUGCAUUUUCGAGGAUUGAGCGUAGCUUCUGUUCCGAGAGAAGAGAGCGAGCUGGGCUUCCAGCCAUGACAAACUUCUUCUCGUUCAGCUUCGACACAGCCAUUGGGUCGAAAUCUAGAAAGAUUUCUCUGCAUCCACAAUAAUAGUUCAGAAUCCAUAAGAGCAUCAAGGAAAACAUCUUCCAAGAGAUAAUUUAUAAAGUACCUAAACAUCUGUCGUUUGUCAAGAAUGGCAGGCCAUGCUAGUUCUGCCAGGGCUCCAGACAAACUUAGCAGUUCAAAAAGUUUCCUGCAAGUUACGUACGAAAAAGGGCCAAUCAGAGACUGAAAACGUUAUAGCAUAGUUGUGAAUGCAGUAAGUUGGUAAGGCACCUGUCAUCAUGGACUGGCACUCCCCAUUCUUCAUCAUGAAAUGCUGCGUACGAUGGUUCUUCAGAACAUACAACAAAACCAAGUUAGCAACUCAAAAUCUUCUUCUUAGAUUGCUAAACGCACUUUAAAGAAGAAAAGAGUCAAGAAAUUGACUCUCUACAGCAAGAAAACAUCACUCGUUAUAGAAGUAUUAUACCAUUAUUGCCAGUUUUAAGCCUUUCUCACUAUAUGGAUCCACUCAUUUGCGUCUAUGCACUGACGUUUAUCGUCCAUUUUCACUACCAUAAUCAAGUACGCAAUAGCACCAUCAGGAUUGGUCGGAAACACUGGGCAGAAACUUCAAUUUUGAAAAUUUUACAUAGGAUUUCAUCAAUUUGCAUAUGGGAGACCCUGGGCAGUGACCUAGAUUCGUCCAUUCCUAAUUUUGCCACUAGCCAGAUCCACAAAAGGAAAGCAAGAAAAGCAUUUUCGAAUUCCAGCUCUAAUCAAGCUCCACCAAACUACCAAAGCUGCAAAAUUUCUACAUGAACUGAGAAAAAAAUGCCAUUCUAACAAUGAUUCUCAUAAACCCUAUAAGCUACUCAUACUAAAACCAAACAUACGCUGCCAUUCAUCUUUCACCAGUUCAACAAAAUGUCAAAAGACUAAGCCUUCUCCUGCAAUCCAAACUUCAAGCGGAAAGUAAAAAAAAAGAAAGAGCGAAAUCGGACAAAGGACUCACCAGUUGUCGGAGUAACCCAAGGGCACCUUUUCCUACUCGGAACAUCGCCGCCACUCUCGUCCUCCGCCGCCCCAUUUCCACAUCUCCCUUCCUCAUCUUUGUCAAUUCUCAACCUACAUUGCUGCCUCCUCUUAACCACCACCGCGGCGGGUCCCGNNNNNNNNNNNNNNNNNNNNNNNNNNNNNNNNNNNNNNNNNNNNNNNNNNNNUUCCACCCCAACAUGCCUCCCUCCUCUUAACCCCCGCCGCGGCGGUUCCGUUGCUCCGCCCCAACAUUCCACCCGUCGUCGCCGACGACAAGGAAGAAGAUGCCAGGCUACUGCUGCUCGUGGAAUCGGACGACGCAUCCGAUGAGCACGAAGCAUUCAUGGACUUCUGCCGCAGAACCUCCGCCACUUGUUGCUUCCUAGCUGCUGGCUUUUGCUGCAGCCCCUUCUUCUCCGGCUCAGAUAUUUUCAACAACCGGAAUCUCGCCGGACCCGACAUUACCCGAUUCCUUCCUUUGUUCUCCGGAUCCAUGGUUUCUGCUGGUCGAAUUUUUCACUUGCUCUUCGGGAGAGGAAGUUAGGGUCUUGGUGGGUGUUUGGGAGGAAGUGUUGACCUUUCUUCGAAUGGAGCGAUAAAUAAAAGGAAUAGAGAGGAACCAAUUAAGACUCGCCACGUAGGAAAAGCAAAUGAGCCACGUAACACGCUUUUAAUUAAAAUAAAACAAUACUUAAAUGAAUCCCCUGGUCAUAACAUAACGAUAACACACAGCUGUCCGGGAAUGUUCUUUUCUGCUGAAGCUUGAGCUUAAGAAGUCUGCUGUCACUAAUUAUUUAAUAAUUAGGUCACUAAUCUCUCUUUUUUAACUAAUUAGGUCACUAAACUCUGAGCGGGUUGUUAGUUUGUUACAGCUGGUUUCUGUACUCCGAUCCUACUGCAAGAAAGCCAAUUACUGGGUGGAUUAACGAUGGAUUGACACACUAGAUUGAAUUAUACGAAUUUCAAGAUGCAUAUUAGUAAAAGUAUUGAAUAUAAAGAAUAUUAUAUAUUAUCGAACUUUUAGACAUAGAAGUGGAUUGAGUGGAUUGAAUCGUUACCUGAAAGAACCUAAUAAAUCGGAGGAAAAUAAAGCCAUAUAACAAGGUAGCUGCAUACAGCUGCUGGUACUAAUGAAUCUCAGUAGGAAUUAGGUUUGAUAAGUAGAAGGCAAUCAUUUGAGAAUAUUAGGUGUGUAUUUUCAAAGUGAAAUAAAAUGGGUGGAUGGAUGGUAUUAAGAAGUCAGGUUAUUAGAUUUUAUUUCAAUUUAAAGAGUUAGGUUAUGAACUGCUAUAUUUGAAAUCGUGUUAGAUUUAAGCAUAAGUAUAAUUGAGUCAAUGGAGUUAGUGAGGAUCAAUUUCAGCGGAUUAUUAAAGAUUACUUUAUCCUCUUUAUUUGGCCAUCCGCAGGAAUUUCAUGAUCCUGAAUAUUUUAUUACGAAAAGAUUGGUUUAUGAUGUGGGUACGGAAAAUACUAGUUAAAUGAAACGGAAAAUUUGUUCAUUGCGUUUUCUUUAGGUGGUUCUCCCAACAAUUAGAGAUAUUGGUACGCAAUAGUUGUAUCCCUCACAUGGUAUAGAAGACUUUGUCCAAAUAGAAUCAUGUUUAGCUCCCAACAUAACCAACAUUUCAUGAUCAUGUGCUUUUGUUUGAACAAAUCUUGAAUUACUGAAAUAUAACUGCUCUUUUAUGAAACCUAAAAACAGAGAAUUUGAGUCUCUUUUGUAGGUUAGUGGUAGGAGAAGUCCGCUUGUGUGGGUUUUAUGCUAUGGCGAAUUUUUUAUCGGUCUAUCCAUCCAAUGAGAAGAGGUCUCGAUUGCUAGCGCGAGCUCAUGUCAUGGAGGAAGCACUCACUCUGUAUAACAAAACUAUGGCCAGACGAAACUGAAGGCUUUACUGAUUGACAGAUUUGGGAUAAAACUGCCAUCUGUAUGCUUCCUCGGCAUUUACCGUUGACGGUGGGCAUCUUUACUGUGACUCGUUCAUAAACACAAGGACUUUUCAUUAUAUUAUUACAAACUUUCUCCAAUCUUAGCUGACAUUACGAAAUCACAUAUCCCCCCAUCACUACUGUAAGGCAUGGAGGAUGAUCUGAACUCCAUGCUGCGGGCGAGUUGUUAUCAUUUGAGUAGGAGAGUGAAUGUAAGUCGGAGAAAGAGUGAACGUAUAACACUGAAGGAUCAUCGAAAGUGCAAUCUUCGCUUCAUUUGCCGCAAAGCUGGACCCCACACAAACUCUCACCCCUAUCCCAAACGGAAGAAAUGCAGAUGGAUUGUUCUUCGUGGCUUUGGCAACUCCUUCAGAAAACCUUUCCGGGUUGAACUCAUGCGCAUCUUCUCCCCAAAUUUUAGGGUCUUGAUGAAGCGAUAUUGUAUCGAUGGUGAUGUGUGUUCUCUUAGGGAUAGUCAGCUUCCCUAGUUGAACAUCUUUCACAACUUCUCGAGUAAUCCCGCUCGCAGGAGGAUAUAGUCGCAGUGUCUCAUUGAUAAUCAUGUUCAACUGCAACACCAUUAUGAAAUUAAGCAUUUCGCGCUUGUUAGACACAACAAAUAUUAUAUGAGGUUAUGCUUACAAUUUUGAGCCUAGCAAUCCCAUCUGCGUCCGGAGCUCGGCUACCGAAUUGGCUCAAAACUUCUGCUCUGGCUUUCUCCUGCCAAUCUGUGUGGAUAGAUAGAAGUAAGAUAACCCAUGCAAGCAGAGUGUUUGUUGUUUCUUGUCCAGCAAGAUAGAAGGUCUUGCACUCAUCCACAACAUCAUCCACCGUAAUUCGCUUCGAUUCGUCUCUUUCGUGAUUAGCUCUCAGUAGUAAUCCGAGGAAAUCGUUCCCAAAGCCAUCUGCUUCUCCCGCUGCGAUCAUAUCUUCUCUUUUUCGAAGCAUUUCCAAUAUAGACGCUCUUAUUCCUUGCUCAAGCUUGUUUGCCUCAAUAUCAGCACUGGUUUUGUAAAUCUUGCUGCAAUCAAUAGGCCAAAAAUGUAAAUCUAACCAUUGAUAAGUGGUUGAAAUUUCACAGAAGCAGUCAGUGAACGUAGUAAUUAAGUAAAAUACCUGAUUCCAGGAAUUCUAACUUUGAAGAAACGGGCAACACCGAGCUCAGUAAGCUUACUCAACUUGUAAAAGAGCUGCUUUCCUUCCAAGUAGCUACUCCCAAAUGCAGUCCUGGAAAUGACUUCAGCUGAUAAGAACCUGAAUUCUUCAAACACCUCAACCUCUUUCUCUACGUGACUCUUCCACCUCUCUAGCAUCAUAUCUGUGCUAGCAAUCAUUGCUGGAACCAUAUUCUGCCAAAUAUCACAAGCUCGUCAAUAAACAAGCGGUAGCUGCAAUAGCGGAACCAGGAUGGUCAAAGACUCUGGGCAGGAUUUUCAAGUUUACAGUUAGUGAUUCGUCACUUUGACCAUGGGCAGCGGCCCAAAUUUUCCCAACCCUAGUUCCGCCAUUGAGUACCUAUAAACUGAAUAAUCCUGUUUCUCGGUCGUAGAGAUUAAACCCACCUUUAAGCUCUCUCCGAAGAAGGCAAAAUUAGCGAGCUUUCUCAUCUUGGCCCACUUUUCACCCUCCGACGUUAUCAGUCCAUCUCCGAGUAUCUGCUUCAUUAUACCUUUUGGUGGUAUUUUCCCAUAAGCUUUGUCUCGAUCGUUCGCCACUUGCUUCACCAUCUCUAGCUCCGACACAACCAAGAAAGGGCGACUACCGAUCCAGAACAUGAAAUUUGGGCCUAUCACAUGAACCAUUAAUCAGCACCUGAGAGUUUAUAUUUGACAAAGAGGACAAAAACAAAAGGAGAAUACUCACCGUAUGUCUUAGACCAGGCGGACAAAUGAGGCUGCAACCUGGAAUGAAUUUGAUGAGAAAGACCUGGCAUAGGUUUUGCCAUGGCGGCCUUUUUUAGCUUCUGGAUUUCCAGAGUAUUUCCAUAGAAGAAUCUGUAGGAUGGGCCUCUGAUUCCGAGGGAAUUCAGACGACGCUGAAGUAGGAGUGGCUUUACCAUCAGAUUGUAAAGCAGUAUCGUAAUCAAAGCCAGAGGCAAUACGAGAAAGAGAGCUCCGUGUGGAAGAAACAGCAUCGUCGGUAAGGCUUUGAGGUCAGGCAUCAUCAUCGCUUGUGCAGUGGAUUCAAAAGAAUAUGAACAGAGUUCUUGCAAGAUACAUAGUGGAGCUGCUGAAAAGACCAAAACUGAGACAGUACUGAUAUUUUGUGGCUAAAACAUAUUGGGGAUUCAAUGCUGUGAGCCUUCUUCUUACCAAAAUUCAACGAAGCACUAAUUAGUCAUUAUCACUAUUCCAAACAGAAGAAUACAAAACAUCACCAAUAAAUCCAAACUCAUUUUUCCUAUACAACCUUAGGUUUCUUGUACAUUGGAUUUACUUGUUUGUCCUGCCUACAAAGGAAGCAAAACAAUUUCAGUUUAUUGAUCCUUCCUGCCAGAAGGAACCAAGAUAGCACACUUGUCGGGUAUUGAAUCCGUCCUAAUAACUGUAAUUGGAGGAGAAGGAUACAAUAACCCCAACGAUCAAAAUCACAUUUCCAUUUUCCACCAAAAGAAAACAAAUGCAAAUUCAGUUUUUCUACAAGCUGUAUUUUUGGCUUUUUGCACAUGGGAUUGGCCAUGUCGCCGAAGUUGGAAUCAAAACAAUGUUUUAGUUUCAACCAAGAGAUAAAUAUUUUAAAGUACCUAAACAUCUGUCGUUUAUCAAGAAUGGCAGGCUAUGUUAUUUCUGCCAGAGCUCCAGACAGACUUGACAGUUCGAAUAGUUUCCUGCAAGUUACAAAAAUAGGGUCAAUCAGAGACUGAUCAUGCCUGUAGCCUGUCAUCAUGGACUGGCACUCCCCAUCCUUCAUCGUAAAAUACCGCGUACGAUGGUUCUUCAGAACAUACAAAAAAAGCAAGUUCAGCAGCUCAAAAUCUUCUUAAAUUGCUAAAGCGGACUUUAACGAAUAAAGGAGUUAAGAAAUUGACUCUCUACAGCAAGUUAUACAAUAAGCCUUUCUCACUAUAUGGAUCAACUCCUUUGCGUCUAUGAACUGACAUUUAUCCCUCAUUUUGACAACCAUAAUCAAGUAACAAGAUAGAAAUGGAAAUUAAGAAAAAAGCAUUUUCAAAUUCCAACUCUAAUCAAGUUCGACAAAAGCUGCUAAAUUUCUACAUGAAGUGAGAAAAAAACCAUUCCAUUCUAACUUUCUAACAAACUAGGGCAGCAGGAGGAAUGAACGAAAGAGAGUUUCAACACAACCCUUUACCCGCAAGUUCCCUCCACGUCCUUCAUGAGCUUGGAGACGAGGCUAUCGCGAAGGUUGCGGCCGAAAUAGCGACAGUGCAACUGCAUUUUCCGCUCAAGAACAAUGUGCCCCCGUUCGGAGUCAACGAAAACUGACGAAUUCGCCUUCCAGUUCCAGACGAACUGAAAGAGUUAGUUUUUCUCCGGUUACCCUCGACGCGGCGGGAACCUCCGUAGUAGUAGCAGUGAGUUCAGCUGAAUGAAACUCGAAGAAGCAAAAUUCCCAACUUAAAAGACUAACUGGGCCUGAACGAUUUCUGGGCUUUAACUAAAGAAUGGCCGGUGCGGGCCUAGCCCAAGAUCUCUUGGCCGAAUCUUAAAAAUACCCAUCUUCAAAACAACACACCGUUUUUGAAACGAAAAAAUACCCCCGCGCAGAAUAUCCGUUCAUCGCCGCCGGUGAUCUGGAUUAAUUGUCGACGGCUUCCUACAAGUGAAUUGCCUCUCAUCCUCCUUCUUCCUCUGUGGCAGGAAAGAUUUCAACCCAUCAGAAAUUCUCGGAGAAGUCGUCGUCAACCUUUGUAGCAUCUUCCACUCUGUUUCUCAGUCGGUUCCGACAGCAGAGUUUCUCCAUGGCAAAGGAAGCUGAUUUCUAGCACAUAUUUUUUAUUUCAGUAUUGUAUUUCAGAAACACAAGGAUUUUUCAUUAUAUUAUUACAAUCUUUCUCCAAUCUUAGAUUACAUUACAGAAUCACAUAUCCCCCCAUCACUUACUGGAGGGCAUGGAGGAUGACCUGAACUCCAUGCUGCGGGCGGGUUGUUAUCAUUUGAAUGGGAGAGUGAAUGUACGUCGGGGAGAGAGUGAACGCAUAACGCUGAAGGAUCAUCGAAAGUGCAAUCUUCGCUUCAUUGGCCGAAAAGCUGGACCCCACACAAACUCUCACCCCUAUCCCAAACGGAAGAAACGCGGAUGGAUUGUUCUUUGUGGCUUUGGUAACUCCUUCUGAAAACCUUUCCGGAUUGAACUCAUGUGCAUCUUCUCCCCAAAUUUUAGGGUCUAGAUGAAAUGUCAUUGCAUCGAUGAUGAUGAGUGUUUUCUUAGGGAGAGCCAGCUUCCCUAGUUGGACAUCUUUCGUAACUUCUCGAGUAAUCCCGCUUGCUGGAGGAUACAAUCGCAGUGUCUCGUUGAUAAUCAUGUUCAACUGCAACCACCAUUAUGACAGUUAGUUUAUGUGGAUUGAAUUCUAAACAUUUGGAGCUUGUUGCAGAAUGAAUGUUAUAUACUCUACAAGAAAACAGAGAAAUGGUCACGGAUAUUGGGUCACGGAAAUCAUGUUUGUGACUUGAGAUCUGUGACGAACUGGUCACAGAUUUUAACUAGAACCAUGACCAAAUGAUCCACGACCAACUUGUCACAAAUUAAAAAUCGUGACCAGUUUGUCACGGAUACCCAAAACCAUGAUCGGUUCAUUUGGUAUAUCGAUCAAUAUAGUUACAGAUUUUGCUUCCGUGACCAAUAGCAACUAUUUACUUGUAGUGAUGAUAUAAAGUUAAGACUUACAAUCUUGAGCCUUGCAAGCCCGUCGGAGUCCGGAGCUCGGCUGCCGAAUUGGCUCAGAACUUCUGCUCUUGCUUUCUCCUGCCAAUCAGUGUGGAUAGAUAGAAGUAAGAUAACCCAUGCCAAGAGAGUGUUGGUUGUUUCUUGUCCGGCAAGAUAGAACGUCUUGCACUCAUCCACCACAUCAUCCACCGUAAUUCGCUUCGAUUCGUCACUUUCGUGAUUAGCUCUCAAAAGUAAUCCAAGGAAAUCGUCCCCAAAGCCGUCUGCCUCCCCCGCUGCAAUCAUCUCCUCUCUUUUUCGAAGCAUUCCCAAUACAGACGCUCUUAUUCCUUCCUCAAGCUUCUUGGCUUCAAUAUCAGCACUGGUUUUGUAAAUCUUGCUGCACCCAAGAUAGACCAGCCAAAUGGUAAACUAACCAUUGAUGAGUAGUAAAAAGUUUAACAGAGAGACAGUAAGUUAAUACCUGAGUCCAGGGAUCCGAAUUUUGAAGAAACUGGCGGCGGCGAGCUCAGUAAGCUUACUCAACUUGUGAAAGAGUUGCUUUCCUUCCAAGUAGCUACUCCCAAACGCAGUCCUGGAAAUGACUUCAGCUGAUAAGAAUCUGAAUUCUUCAAACACCUCAACCUCUUUUCCUACAUGAACCUUCCACCUCUCUAGCAUCAUUUCUGUGCUAGCAAUCAUUGCUGGAACCAUAUUCUGGCAAAUACACCACAAGCUCAUCAAUAAACAAGUUGUAGCUCAAUAGCGCGAAAGCAGGAUGAUCCAAGACCCUGGAUAGGAUUUUCAACUUCACAGUGAGUUUAAAAGCUAUAGAAAACACAACAGUAGGCAAAAACUUCGAUUUCGAAAAAUUUACACAGGAUUUCGACCACUUUAGAAACAAGGGACGAUAGAUAGUGGCCUAGGUUUUCGUCACUUUCAAACCGAACGUCACGUUUUGGUUCUAGAGAUGAAACCAACCUUUAAGCUCUCGCCGAAGAAGGCGAAAUUAGCGAGCUUUCUCAUCUUGGUCCACUUUUCGCCCUCCGACGUGACCAGUCCAUCUCCGAGUAUCUGCUUCAUUAUACCUCUGGGUGGUAUUUUCCCGUAAGCUUUGUCUCGAUCGUUCGAGACUUGCUUCACCAUUUCCGGCUCCGACACAGCCAAGAAAGGGCGAUUGCCGAUCCAAAACACGAAAUUCGGGCCUAUCAAGACGAAUCAUCAAUCAGCACCUGACAAUUUAUAUUUGACGUAGAGGAAAAAACAAAGACUUGGUUUGACGAGAAUGAAAAAGUUGGCCGCUCGAAAUCACUUCGCGAGAAUCAAAAGGAAAAUAAAAAUCUCACCGUAUGUCUUAGACCAGGCGGACAAGUGAGGCUGCAACCUGGAGUAAACAUCAUGAGAAAGACCCGGCAUGGGUUUCGCCACGGCGGAUUUUCUCAUCUUCUGAAUCUCCAGAGUGUUUCCGUAGAAGAAUCUAUACGGCGGGCCUCUGAUUCCGAUGGAAUUCAGACGGCGCUGAAGCAGGAUUGGCUUUACCAUCAGAUUGUAAAGCAAUAUCGAAAUCAAAGCCAGAGGCAAUACGAGAAAGAGGGCUGUUUGUGGACGAAGCAGCAUCAUCGGCAAGGCUUUGAGAUCUGGCAUCAUCGUUGUUGUGGAGUGGAUUCACAAGAAAAUGAACAGAGUUCUUGCAAAGAUAUGUAGUAAGAGUGACACUGAUGUGUUGUGGCUAAAACAUUAUCCCAAGUGUCGGCUGAGGAUUAGAUGCCGUGAGCCUUUCUUCUUACCAAAGUUUCAACGCCCAGUCAGUAGUCAUUGUCACUAUUCCGACCUUGGAUUAAAUGCAAACUCAUUUUUUUAGUAGAAGCUGUCAGAUGAUCUUUGCUGUAUUUUUUUGGCUUUUUCCACAUUGGAUUACUCGUGUUGCCGACGAUAGAAUCAACACAAUGUUUUUUUGUUUCUGGAAGACUGCUCAUUUCUGGAGAUGAAUGACAAGUGUUCUGGAUCGGCAAGCACACCGGUACAUAAGUAAUUGGAUGGUUUGACUAAAAAAAAUUAAUGUGGUUAUUGAUCCGAGGGGUGCAUCCGAUAGAUUCUAGUAGUUUAACGGGGAUAUUUUUGGGUCAAUUUUUAUUCAUCCGACUGAAAAUGAGUCUGACGAAUUGAUUUGAAUGGGUCAGUUUUGGAACAAAACAUUUGAAAAAAUCACAUCAGUGUGUGGGUAAUUGUAUGAGCAUGUUAAGUCAGUAAUAUGUCCAUUUUAUAGGCUCGUUAUGUCGUUAUUACGUCCACCUUACGACUAGUUGAAUUCAUCAUAGUUAUGUUCGGUUUACCACUCUUUUAUGUCGAUGCUACAUAUACCUUAUGAGUUUGCUAAGCGUUUUUAUUAUGUCCUUUUAAUAAGCUCAUUAUGUCGACUUAAUAUGUAAAUUGUUAUAUUCACGUUACAUCAUUAUUAUAUCAUUGUUAUAUCAUUAUUAUAUCCCGUUUACAUAAAAAGAGUAGAGGGAGNNNNNNNNNNNNNNNNNNNNNNNNNNNNNNNNNNNNNNNNNNNNNNNNNNNNNNNNNNNNNNNNNNNNNNNNNNNNNNNCUAAAAAUAUCUCGUGCACAGGACUAAUUAAGAAGCCAAUUUCAUGAUUCUUUUUCGAUAAAUAUAAAUAACCUUAAUUUUUUAUGUUCCUUCCAUCCACUUUUGAAACUCUGCACCCAUAGGAGAAGGUUGGUGAUCCAUCUCCCCAUAUUUGAUAUAAUAAUUAAGCUAACUAUACAUUAAAAGUCGAGUUGUACAUACAUUCUCGAUACCUGAUCUCUAUCUCAAAUUAUAUUAAUGUUUGUCACGACAUCAUUUAACUCUGCACAAAUAAUCUAGCUCGUACCCAAGUUAAUACAACGUAGAGACAUGUGUUGAAAAAAUAAUCUACAAUAAUCUACUAUAAUUUUACAAAUUAUUCUCUACAAAUAUCUUAACGAUCAACCAUCUAAAUUAAUUAUGAUGUAAUAAUAAUAAUAAAAGAAACAAUAGCCACUUAUUAAAAUCAAUUAUUUCUUUUUAAGCUCAAGCGCAUUUACGCCUAUCUUUCAUUUAAAAUCAAAUGUGGUUGGAAAAUUCUAAACAACUCAUACAACAAAUGUAAAGAGAGAGUAAGAUCACUAAUAGAAACAUAAUGAACACCAAAUGGUAAACUAUGACCAUGGCUAGUUAGAUAAUCAGCACCCCGGUUGCCUUCCCGAUAUAAAUGUUCAACUUUGAUAAGCCAGUCACGAUCCAACAUCUCACGGAAACUAGCGACCUCUGAAGAGUGCUAGUGGGUGAGCUCCCAUCCUCCAGCAGAAGCUGAAUCGCAGCCUGCGAGUCAAGUUGCACCCGUACCUUUUUGUACCCUUUCUCCCAAGCUAACUGCAACCCUCUCACAACAGCUCUCAACUCAGCCCUGGUGAUCCCUAGGUUCAUGCUAUAAACUGCCAAACAACAUCCAUCAACAUCUCGAAACAAGCCUCCUGCAGCUGCUUAUCUGGUCUCAGGAAUGACAGACCCGUCAGAGUUGAGAGCAACCCACUCGGGUGGUGGUGACGGCCAAGAGAUAUCCACCACCGUCUUAGCAGAUGAACCAGUAUUAACAGGCUGGUCACGUAUCAAAGCCUCCUCAAUAGUCUCGGCCCAAAAACUGAUACAUUGUGAUAGGGCCUCGAGAGUGGUGCGAGUAUCGGUGAAUAAUCGUUCAUUUUUUGUCUUUCAAAGAGACCAGCAGACAGUCCCAAAAAAAAACUAGUGCUCGUCGUCAUCAACUGGUGGAUCAAGGAAAAAGUGGUGCAUCCCAACCCGUUUGAUAUUCAGAAAGAAAGCCAAGAUGUGCCCAGGUGCUAGCUGCGAACGGACAGCCCCGCAACACAUGCAAAACCGUCUCGGCCGAGCCAUGAGAGAGAGUGCAAGAUCCGUCGUCCGCCAUGUGUCUCCAUUUUCGCUCCUCCUUUGUCAGAAGUCGUUGAUGCGUCGUCAGACACAUCUCUUCAAGCUCUCACAUAUGAUCUCGAACUAUGUGUUCUCUAACUCGUAUGUGCCCAACAAAGGUUGAGAUAAAUCAAUCUCAACACAAGUUCGAGCGUAACGAGUGUGUUCUCCUUCAAUCGUGGCAACAGCCACUCGGACAAUCUUCCCAACCUUCUCUGCAAUUCAUGUGACUGCCAAUUUUGAAGUAGUGAAGAGGGAGGUCAGGGAGACGAACCCACGUUAGGAGGCGUGUUAACGGGGCAUGGACAUUGAAGUCCGGUGUCCAGAAUGAGACAGUGAUGUAAUAAUCAAAGAUCUUCCAUGGACCAUCGAAGGCAACGUAUAAAUAGUCUUCUUUGGAAGCAAAUCGAACUGCAUAAUAAUGGUUUUGCACUGCCGAGACUUGAAUCUCCUCGUUCUUCGCCCAAAGCCGUUCAAGCCGGCUCUUUAUUUUGAAAAACAAGAAGUUCUUCUCCAGAACCCUAACGAGCAGGGCCUUAGACCAUUGUUUAACCAUAGACAACAUCUCCUCUUUCGUGAAGAUUACCUUAGGGCACCGUUGAUUAGGGUUCUCUGCCGCUUCCCAAGUUACAGGGAUCUGGAGUUGGUCGAUCUCCUCAUCAGAGGCCAUGAUCCAAGCUGGUCAGCCGGCCACCGCCGCAACAAAGCUCAUGGGGAUCGAGCUCUCUGGUUCCGCAGCAGCACGAGUAGGACUCGACUCGGAUCGAGUAAGCUUGUCGACGUCAACACCGCCAGCCUGUCGCAUACGUUUCCUAGGGACGAGAGGGUCGAUAUGCACCAAUGGGAGAGGACUGCUAGCAGUUCCGGCGGCCUGGGCGGAAUCACCGUUAGGGUUCAGCUCCUCCGGCAUCUUCAGAGCUCUUUUUCUAGUUUUUUUCUAUUCUUUAGAUCUAUAGAAUCGAUAAUGUUAUGUGGCUAGGUAAAUCAAAAGCAAAAGAUCUGGCAUUAUUAUUAUUAUUAUUAUUAUUAUUAUUAUUAUAACAAGAUAAAGAGGGUUUGAGAGUUGUGUGCAAGAGUGGUGAGUUUGUGAGUGAGAAAUUUAAAGCCUCCAUUGGUUUUUGCCUUUUAUUUAUUUGAGUGAAAUAUUAAAAUAUUUUCACCCGAUCUUUAAUUCCGCUAUAUUUUAAUUAGUAUAUUAACAAUAUAGUUCCUCAUUAUUUUAAAGCAAGCCUCUUACGGUUGUUUAUUUCGUCUCUUGACUAACUCAACCAUCAAAUAGGUAGGGAGUGGUGCUAAUUUUCGAAUGUAGUACUGACAUGUCACGAUCCAAACAUUGUAUCAAUAAGCAAAAAAGACUCAAAAUCAUAGCAGAACUAAGUACUAACCAAGCAUUUUAUCAUUUUCCUGCAGUCAUGUCGAUGAGUUUGUCCUUACGUCACUACAAGAAACGGAGCAGCUAACAUCGGAUUUCUGACUCACAAACUCAAGACAAAGAAGCAGAAGAAGAACGAAGACGAAGAAGAAGAAGACGAACGAAGACGCAGACAACGGUGAAGAAGAAAGAAAAACGAAAAAAAUGAAAAAUGAAGAACGAAGAACGUAGAAACCCAGCUUUUUUAUUACUGAACCAAAAGGCUAAUAACGACUGAUAAUUUAAAGGCGGAUAAUAUCGGAUGUUAGUUUAACAGUAGAUAAAAUUCGCGUGUUACAAUUUCUAGCAUAAAUUAACCCAAUAACUGAUUCACAUCCACUAUUAAGGUUUCUAACAUCAAAUUAUUCGCCGUUAAAUUAAAUAUAUAACCGCUAUUAGAUAUUCAGUUUCUUAUAAUGCAAUAAGCAUGACUACAUAUCUAGAGCCUAAUUAGACAUGACUAUUUCAAAUAACAUGUUAUAUAUAUGGAAUUGGAAACAAAUUAAAAUUAUUUAAGAGGAGAACAAAGUAAUUUCCACGUCACUCGAAGUGGGACCUUUCUUUAUCCAACUAUCUUCCACACAAUGCCCAACAUUUCAAUCCUCAGCAGCAAUUAACACUUGGGGCCAAAUACAAAACAAACAACUGAAGAACAGAGCACCCAAAAAUUCAUCAAUGGCCUCAACAUGCCUCCUUCCCAAACCCAUCACUCAACUUUUCCUGAAAACCCCACCAUCACAUUCCUCCCCUUCGUCACAAUUCACCACAAAGCCGAAUCAAAGGCAACCAACCAGAGUGAAUCUGAAGAAGAAGAACCCGUGGCUCGACCCGUUCGACGAUGGACCUGACCCGGAUAUGGAGUACGGGUCACUCUUUGCCGAUGGCAAGCAAGACGAAGACGACAGGCCGCCUGAGAAUCCAGACAACCCUUAUGGAUUCCUCAAGUUCCCGGCUGGAUACAGCGUCGAAAUUGCCUCGAUAGGGUUGAAAGUCAGAGGUGAUGUCAGGGUGUGUUGCUGUGUCGUCGCUGGUGGUGUCUAUGAGAACCUGCUCUUCUUCCCCACCAUUCAGCUCCUCAAGGACAGGUUCAAUAAUUAUAACUGGUUAUUGUAACAGGUUUAGUUAUAACUGGUUAUAUUAACAGGGUUUUGUGUUUAGGUAUCCUGGGGUUCAGAUUGAUGUGAUAACGUCAGACAGAGGGAAGCAGGCUUAUGAGCUGAAUAAGAAUGUGAGGUGGGCAAAUGUAUGGGACAUUGAUGAUGAUUUCCCUUACCCUGCUGAGUAUAUGGAUAUGCUUGGAAUUAUCAGGGUUUGUGUUCCUAACUCUCAUCUUACUAUGUAGUACAUGCAUAGGGUUCGAAAACCGCCUACGAUUAUUCGGCCUGAUCGAAUUCAUAACCAACGAAGACUGCUUUCAUAGAUGUGGAUCCAUGUGCGGCUUUUGGUUAGUUCGGUUAAAUUCCAGACCGAAUUUGGUUGAAAACCGCGCACCGUAGUCAACACCCCGUGAAUUGACCGUCCAAAUUGGAUUGAAUCAAAUGUUUUACAACCCUAUGAAGUAAAUGUCCAAACUUGUACAAUAUUGCAUAAUUUUUCUUAUUCAAAAUUGGUCAAUUUUCGUAUGUUAUAUUAUGGAAAUUUAACAAUUUUUAUAAGAAAAUUUAAAAAUUUUCAGAUCGACUAAUAUUUGAUAAUGUUGGAAAUGGCUAAAAAAUCAAAUUUUACUAUGUUAACCCAUAUAAAUAAUAGUCAAAUAAAAUUAAAAAAUAAUUUUACUUGGUGUUAUGUUAGUGGUGAAAAUUUUCAAAUGACUUAUUUUCUGCAUACAUGUAAUGGAAAACUACUAACAUUUUACUUAGUGUUAUGUAGAAUCCCAUGACUUCUACAAGUAGGCACCUAGAUAAAGUUUUUCCUUCACUGUGCUCCUACUUUUGUAAGAAAAAAUAAAAUUGAAUUAUCAACCUAGAUCGAGUCGAAAAGACUUCAAUUGGUCAUGAUCCAAUCCUGUGGCUGAACUCAAUUCGGUUAAGGUUAGCAUAAUUGAGUUCGGUAUACAAUCACCUGUUACAGGUUUGGGUCGAUUUCGACACGGGCACCAAGUGAAUCCCAUUCAUGUUAACCGUGACCAAACCAAAUCCCAUGUUAGUACUUAGUACGACAUUGACUUAAAUUGCUAGAGAUUUUGGCACUGUUGAUGCAGGGGAGGUACUACGACAUGAUACUAUCAACAAAAAUAGCAGGGCUAGGGCACGCAACAUUCCUCUUCUUGUCCACUGCAAGAGACAGAGUCAGCUAUGUGUACCCAAAUGUAAAUGCAGCGGGAGCUGGUCUAAUGCUAUCGGAGACCUUCACUGCAGACAGUUUGAACCUCUCCGAGAAAGGAUACAAUAUGUGAGCGAGUGAGAGAUCGAGUUUGGAUUCCGUAAAACAACCUCAAUCCUUCUCAUCAUCACCGAUGUUUGAUUUUGUCGACCACAGGUACGAGGAGAUGCUCGACUGGUUGGGGAAGCCGUUUCGGAGCGUUCCCAGGACUCCAGUUCCUCCUCUGAGAGUGUCCAUUUCUAAGAAGGUUAAGGCUGCUGUGGAGGCAAAAUAUAAGGCUGCUGGUGCUGAGAUGGGGAAGUAUGUAGUGAUUCAUGGGAUUGAAUCGGAUUCCAAGGCCUCCAUGCAGUCCAGAGGAGACACGGAUAGCUUACUGUCGAUUGAUCAAUGGGCUGACAUUGCCGACUCUAUAAGGUACUGAUACUAUUAGGGUUGUUGGCGAGCCGAGCUUCCCAUUAAUCGUUAGGCUCGAAAGAAGCUCGUCACUGACUCAACUCGAUUUUAAAUGAGCCCAAUUUGAGUCAGGAUAUGCUAAACUUGAUAGGCUUCCGAGCUGGCUGACUAGCUCAAGUCAAGAUAUGCUCGACUCGAUAGGUUGAGCUCGAGAGCCGACUCGUAUACUUGCUCUAGUAUAUGGCUCGUUAGUGGACGACCUAAUGCGCCAUGUUUUUUUGCCUUGAAUACCAUAUACAGUAAAUUAUAUGUGACUUGUCAUUGUGGUUUGAUUAUUUUAAAUAAAAAAAAGUAAAAACUUGUAAAUUUUAGAAUAAUUUGUUGUUGAACUUGAGUAGUCGAUGUUUUUAAGUGUACAAGCUUUAAAUUCGGCUAAAAUUGGACUCAUUAUGGAGUUUGAAUAGAGCUUAAGUUUGACUCAUCAAGGACAGUUAAGCUCGAAUAGACUCAAUCUCGAAACGAGCUACAAUUUUCUAGCUCAAGUACGACCUCACGGAACUGCUAAGUACACAUGUAUACUUUGCUUCGAAGCAGUGAAUUGAAGCCAGUUUUCGUGAUUCCACAUGAGAAAGAACGGGAAAGUAUAGAAGAAAUUUUGGAGGAUCCCAGUAUAGUCUUCAUCACAACUCCCGGCCAGGUGACUAAACCUCUCUGCAAAACUGUUGAUUUUGACAAAACUUACAAAUUCAUGUAAUGGCUAACAUCUUAGGGGUGGUUUGGUUUCAGCUGGCUGCUCUGAUUAACGACUCUGCUGGAGUGAUAGCUACAAACACAGCAGCAAUCCAACUCGCAAAUGCCCGUGGCAAACCCAGGUAACAACAAACUUCACAUAAAACAAGGGUUGAUGAUGCUACUAAUCAAUGUCCUCUUUAAGGAUUGUUUACUGCCUAUGGUUUCUGCAGCAUUGCACUGUUUUCCUCUGAAGAGAAGGCGAGACUGUUUGUUCCAAAUGCAGAGGAGAAAAGAUGCACCAUCAUAUCAUCGAAAACCGGCAUACUCAAAGACAUAGAUGUUGGAGCUGUUAUAAAUGAAGUCAAGAAAGCUUUUGAACGCCCCCUUGCUCUGGUCUAGAAUACAUCAGCUGUGUUUACUCAAAUCUUGUUUCUCAUUGACCCACAUGUAUAUGCAUUCUUAUUAAGAUAUAGUUCCAGGGAAGAGGUAAAGAGUAAAGAGAUACUCUCUCAACUUAAUGAACACAAGAUUUCCCCAUAUUCCCCGUCUCCGCAUUCAAGCUAAUUCAUAGAAACAGUAGCAAAAUUUCGAAGGAAUACAGUGUCGUGGCGCAUAAAGGCCGUUUCUAAACAUGUUCAAAGAGCACAAAGCACAACACGAAAUCAGGGCUCUAACAGGCUACUUCUGUUUCACAGUACUAGAGUCGAUCCGAUACAACCUAAUUAAAAUACCUUCUUAGAAGUAAGAACUAAGAACGUACCAACUACGGAACUGAUCUUCUGAGGCGGGCAUGGCAGCACGUGCAAAAUGAAGAUGCCAGUGUACUGAAAAGAUAGAAUCUUCUAUUGUCCAUCCUGCAUCCUUCUUUAAACAUCUUUGGUUAAUCAAUCUAGAUCACGGUACUCAAGCAAGUGGCUUAGCUCGAGUAGUAGGAUCCUCUUUCGAUUCUACGAGGAUCAUGAAGAAAUAACCGAGGCACCAUAACAGAAUGUACUGAAAAGGAACCCAAGGUAGACAUGCCAACAGGCUCAAAACGCUUCCAACGUACUGUGGAUCUCUUAUAACCCCAAAUGGGAAUUCAGUCACCCAAGGAAUGUUCUUGCCAAAGCGCACACCGUAGUAUGUCCCAGCUUCUCCAAGCAAUUGGUAUACCCUGCAAUGCCACAAAGGUAUUUAAACUUCAGUGCAGCCAAUCAAAAUCAGAUAAAACAUCGCCAAAAAAACCCAGAUCGUUAUCGGAGGAAGCCGUAAGCACACAUAUAUGAAGGUUCCACAAGUUCAAGUGUUGAUCAUUACACUGUUAAUAUAAUCACAUGAAGGCGAUGAUGCUUCGAAGAAUGUUAAGAACUAAUAUAGUAAGAUGAUCGAUAAGCUGGUUAAAUACAAAGCCACAUUUCAGAAUCUCAUGUAAUCGAAAUCGGAUAUCCACAUUUUUUAGUUGGUUUGAUUUGAGAACUAAUCGUUGAAAAUGAAAAUGCAUAACAACUGAUGCUAAUAGAACUGAAAAUAUACAUACAUGAAACUGCACUGUUAGGUUUAUUAUUAUCUUGUAAGCAGAAUUCGAUCGUCUACAAUUAUCAUGCCAUAUCAAAAUCAGAUCUCUAACCAGUAGAGCAUCAGAUUUGAUUCAAAACUGAGAGCAGACCAGCUAUAGAAAACCUAAGUUGUAUUUUACAAAUUACAAGCAGAUGCUGACCUGAAGUUGAGGAACUGGCCGAAUACAAAGAGCGGCCAGAAGCAGAGAGGGGGCCACGAAAGGGAAGAAGAGACAGAGUAGAGAGAAAUGAACUGGAGAAGCUUGAGGAAAUGGGAGAUUUGAGCCAUCAGCUUGCUCGGGUCCCGACUUCUCCCGCAGAAGUUCACCCAUGCUUGCGGAUUUGUCCAUAGAAAGUAGUAGAACGGGAACGGCAGUAAUACAGCUAUCGCCGCUACAAUCCCCAUUUCCGCGUGUAUCCUCCUCCUCCUCCUAACUAGGUGAAAUCUGAGAUAUUCCUCUGCAGUCCUCUAAUGGCGGUUUUUUCGCCCUUCGCAGUAUUGGGUCCCUAUUGUUAACCGGAAUUUUGUGGGUUGGGCCUCCGUAGGAUAUGUUCCAUGGAUGCCUAUGGGCCUUUAUACGUUUUCCAAACAUUUUCUCGUAGAAGAUUGGUUGGAACUUGGAAGCUUUGUGGGAGGCUUGAGCCCCCCCAUACUCUGAAUAACCACGAGAAUCUUAUUCUAUGACGGUGGUUAAAUCAAGUUGUAGCAUCAGGGGCGGAGCUAGAUGGUUUCCGGAAGGGGCCAUAGCUCCUCCUGACUUCCGGCGACGGGUACAUUUCCCUACAGCAAAAGUUUGGACUGUGUUCAAAUAUUAGCAAAAAACAACACGAGACAUGUAUACUUUGCUUAGGGUGAUGGCUAGCUGCUAUCUUCUUAAGUAACACGUCUAGGGUUCGAAGCGGGAACAACAACUAAAAAGUUCCGCCUUCUUCGUUAGUACAUAGUGUUGAGAAACUUCCCACGAGUUUGAGCUAAACUGCCUAAAAACCCUACACAUUAACAAAAAUUUUGAGGUCCAUGAUGUGGUUAUGACUACGCAUCCAUAUGAUGGAAAUGUAAAAGAAUUUAGUAUUUUGAAUAUCCUUCAUGAUUCAAAUAGCUCGUAACUAUAUAUGUAACAUGUAUUAACAGAUUGACGAACCAACGACUGGUUUAAAAAUUCUAGUUCCAUAUUUUUAGAUAUUUUCUAAAAGCUUGGCAUUCAGAAUGUUCCAUUUCAAAGUAAUGUUUUGUGGUUCGCAUGUUAUCUUAAUAAGUUUAUUAGAUUCUUUUAUAUAUAUAUAAUUAAUAAGUUUAUUAGAUUUUAUAUAAUGUAUACAAUUUAAAUCAAUUAAUCGCACUCUUAGAAUAACUAAAAUUAUAUAUAUUAGGAUCCCUCCCAGCCGCCCAACACAUGUCACUUUCCUUCAUCACAUGAAAGAAAAUAAAAGAAAAGCUUGAAAUUAAAGCUGUAGUUAUUUCGGCGAUUCAUUAUAAAGAGGACUUUAAAGUUAAUGAACUAAUGAUGUUUAAUUUCCUCUUGUGCUUUUUUUGGUGAAUCUUCCUACUUGUAUUGAUAAUAUAUUACUUGCUAUAGUCUUUGUACUUCAAAUUCAAACACUAAAUUCGUAAAGAAUAGACGUUGAUGUGUCUGGAUUUAUUAGUCGCUCGCUCAACCCAUUGUAAAAAAUCAAAUUACAAGUCGCAUCACAAACUUCUGAACAUCCUUUGCUCGUCAAACGCACAUUUCAAUCCUGGUUUUGGUCACUUCUCGAAAUAAACUCCGAAUCCCAAUCCACUAUCUAUGGAUUUGGAUAACACUAUCAAACCCUAUUCCCAAAUAUGCACAAUGGGUUCUUCCUUUUACUAGCAAAUUAUUUGACCCAUGAGAUAUCGAUAAAGUAAAGAGGACAAUUUUGAAGGUAGAGUAGUGAAUGAAUACACAUUUUGUUAUUCAUGUGAAUAAAACAAUUUACCUCUUAAUUAAGCCCAUAGCUAUACAUGUAUGUGAUGAUGAUCAUAAGGGGUAAAGAAUACCCAGUAAAGGAAACGUGGGCGUGCUCUGCUGAGUGUUAGGCAUUAGGCAUGAACUGAACAUCCUUAAUUUUUUUAACUGCACCCAAUUAUUGGCGACAUAGUGAUCCACUUGUGUCCCUAUUUUAAUACAUUUUAAUUAAUCCAUAUUAAUCUAUUUAGUAUUCACAAACACUUUAUUAAAAGGAUGGUUAGCUUUUCAAACAGACUUUCCCUUUCUUUAUAACGAAAUUCUUGUCGAGUUUUCGAUCAUACAUUGGCUACAGGAACUGAGAAAAAAAGUUUAACAUACAAUGGAAUAAAUAUAAAUAUUAAUGAAAUAAUUAACAAUACUGGAUUCCUACCAAUACAUUUGAACAACUUCCGAUAAUGUUCGAUGUGUCUCCGGCGAUUUUUAACACCUUAGAGUGAAGAUAACAUUUUUGUUUUGGAAAUCGCUAAAAAUGGUAAUUAAUUAAAUAUUUAUGACAUUAUGGUAAUGUUUNNNNNNNNNNNNNNNNNNNNNNNNNNNNNNNNNNNNNNNNNNNNNNNNNNNNNNNNNNNNNNNNNNNNNNNNNNNNNNNNNNNNNNNNNNNNNNNNNNNNNNNNNNNNNNNNNUAAUUAAAUAAUUAUGAGAUUCUGAUAAUUAAUUAGCUAAUUAUGAUACUAUAUCCUCUUACUAUUUCCUAUACAUUACCUCGCUCGGUACACACCUGAGCAUAACUAUCAGGAAGGAAGGUCAAAUAGAGCUCAGUUUUCAAACGGGAACCACUAUCGUCUCACCUGAUCCAACGGUACACAAUUAUAUUUCGAAUCACGUAUAUACGAAAGUAUUUUAUUGAUAUUCUAUAACAUUUCACUAGUUUUUAUUUAUAAAGUAUCAAUUUUAAUUUUCUGACUACGUACGCUACUACUACUGAUCUAACAUUUCACAAAAAUAAUUUUCUUUCCACAAGAGUACUAGUAUGUGAUGUCAUUCUGUACGAGUUAAAUUCGGGAUAAGGAGGCAUGAGGUAGGCAUGCUAGAGAUAGGUUCUUUCGUUGUACUUUUUUGUCCCUUUAAAUUUUGUCACAUCUAGAGAGGCAUAGGAUACUAGUCAUUUUCUUUUAGUCAAGAAUAGUAAUGCCAGUUGGACUAAGAAGUCUUAAGAAUACCAAGGUGUAAGUUGGAAUGUGAAGUGACUAAGUAUCAUUUUAAAUCGAACGAUAAUUAACGAUCAUAUCAUAUUCAUCCUCCAAAUAAUCUUUCUGAAUGAAAAUAAAUAAAACUAAAAAGAAAUAAAAGCAUCUGUUAUAUAAUAUAUAUUGAUUGUUCAUGCAUCUUGUGGUCAUCCACUCUCAUGAAGGAAUAUGAAUCAAAUCAAAUUAGCAUUCUUAUUUUUUUAUUGAGAUAAAUGUAUGUAAUUGCUCAACUUUAAUUAGCAUGCCCUCUUCGGAAUCCCAACUUGGAUUAGUUUCAACUUGGUAUAGACUAUAGACAAUUUAAUUUACUCGGUCAAUUAUGAACCGAGUGGUUAUACAUAAGACUUGACUUUGUUCUUUCAGAUAUUUUAGGUUCGAAAUAUGGACGUUGCUUAUGUGAUGAUAUUAUCAGUCUCAUCUGAGUUGCCGGCCGACAACCUCAUAAUUUACCUGAACAUCAUUAAAUAUGGUGCUGGUUUAAAGAUUUCUUCGUAUAAAAAACGAUUAAAUCGUAUACCCUUCCAGUAGUAUAAAAAAAACCCAAAAGGAAGAGCCCACUAUCUAGUUGAUUAACGUGCUAAUACAACUUUUUAAAUAUUUAUUUUAGGGCCCUUAAAUUCCACAUAUAAAAAGCUGGUUAAGUGCCCCCAAAAUCUUGCUGACAGUUACAUCUCUAUCCAUAAGCACGGUUUACUGAUGAGUACGUCGACGAGAGUAGCGGCGGUGGAUGAGUUUCCGGCCGACGUUGAAGAGAGGAAGAGGUCGGCGGCGGAAUGGGUGGUGGUGAGAGAGUUCGACGGCGAGAGAGACACGGCGGAGGUGGAGGAGAUGGAGCGGCGGUGCGAAGUUGGGCAACUUGUCACUGACCACAUGGGCGACCCUAUUUGUCGGGUUCGCUAUUUCCCUUUGCAUGUCAUGAUGGUAAUUUUCUCAAUCUCGAUCCUAUUUUUUUCAUAUAUCAAAAUUUCGAAACUCUAGAUGAUUAAUAUUAUAAGAUAGAAGAUAUGAAAUAAAAAUUAUUUUAAUAUUUAUUUUGUGAAAUGUGUUGAAUUCGAAUAAAAAAAAUUUAAAUUAUCAAAUAUAUAGCUCUAUCAUUCAAAUAACUCUACUUAGACUUGAUGUCAAAUUAGACUUCGUGUUACAAUUUUGAUUAAUUAAUUUGUAAUCAUGGUGUUAACUUAGAUGAUUUGUUUUGCAGGUAGCUGAGUUUGGGGAAGGAAGGGAAAUAGUAGGAGUGGUAAGAGCGUGUAUUAAAACGGUAUCAAGAGGAGAAUCAUCGAAUAUGAAUGAUUAUGUCAAGUUGGCUUAUAUUCUCGGACUCAGAGUCUCUCCAACUCAUAGGUAACUAUUUAUAUAUUAACGUGAGUUUAAUUGAUGGCAAUAAAUUUUUUGUAAAAACGGGUAAAACCAUAAAGUUGCCGUUAAAAAAUCAGAUUCUAAACGAGAAAUUAAAAAUAGAUCUAAAAAUCAAUCAAAAUUGUACUAUUCGCACCAUUUGUAUAUUCAUAUUAUGCCUUUUUACAUAUUAUUGUCAUACAUUUCCUCUUUGGUUACAUAUGCUUAAUCACACUGUUCGUGACGUAUAUCUCUUAAAUCUUGCUUUUAACCUGGUAAACCCCGUCUAAUCGCAAAUUAUCCAACCGAGUACAAAACAAAGAUGGAUAAUAAAUUUAUAUUUGUUUAGUAAACCAGACGGGGACAUGAUAAUAAACCCGUCCCCAUACCCACCCAUCACCACCAUCCUAUGAUUUCUCUAUUUUAACUGUUUGAUUAAUGUUUCUGUCAGUUCCAUCAUAUCUUUGUCACUCGAUAUUUUAUAUAACGAUUUAUUUGAGUUGUGAUACUGGACGGAAAAGAUGACGGAAGUUGAUAGAAAUGUUAUUAUAUUACGCAGAUCAUUAAAUUAGACGAGUGGGUUAUUAGUGAUUAUAAAAUGAAAGUUAAACAAUCAAAUUGUUACAAUGCUCAAAUUUUGUGACCGCAUGUAUGUUUAAAGUAGUGUAUAAUUAAAGGGCUUUCUCGAAGGUUUUGGUGUUUUGCUUUUGCUGGGCUCUGAAGUUUGGCAAAACCCCACUGACCUCCCACAAAAUAUAACUAGUUAUUUGAUUGGGACCUAAAGAAACAUAAUUUUCCUCGUAUCAUGGAAAUAAAUAAAUAAAUAUUAUAUAUACGACCUAACAAAAUCAAAAUUGAUAAUUCAUAUGUUAAUUAGCUAGCCUGUCUUCGACGCGUGUAUAUAAAAUUACAUCCCCUCUUUAUCUUUUGGGAACAAUUAUCUAUUAAUUACUUUGCAAACGACAACCCUUAAUUAUUUAUUAGUUAUUACUUUAAAACUAAUUAUAAUUUAAAAAAUGGGGACAACAAAGCACAAAAGUAUUCGUGGUGCAACAUUGCUUAGGCAUAAUUUGGCAAGUUUUACCAAAUUUCAAUUGGACAUAUGGGUUAUUCUCCAAUCCAAUAGCAUAUAUCAUACACAUAUUCUUCUGUUAGUGCUUUCAAUUAAUACUUCUUAUUUGAAAAUAAUUCGCUUAUACGAAAUCACGAUCUCAAUGUAGUUACUAUUUACUAGUUCGUUACAUUAUAAUUAAUAUUUGUUCGAUUAUUAUUUCGUUAUUGUGAUCUUAAUUACUAUAUUGAUUUUUAGUUUCGUGUAAGGUUGAAUUUUUUAUUAUGUAGUUAAAAAAUAAAAUAUGAUAAAUUGAUUAAUUUUUUGAUUCUGUCACUAACCCGAGAUAUUUGGACAAUACAGGAGACUUAGUAUAGGCGCAAAGCUAGUGUCCAAAGUAGAAGAAUGGAGCAGACGAAACGGCGCCGUAUACACAUACAUUGCAACCGAUUGCACCAACCAACCUUCCAUCAACCUCUUCACUGGCAAAUUAUCCUACACAAAAUUCCGUACCCCGGCGAUGCUAGUCCAGCCGGUGCACGCGCACCGCAAGUCCAUACCAUCCUCCACAGCAAUCAUUCAACUAACCCCACGCGCCGCCUCUCUAAUCUACCGGAAGGUGUUCAAGUCCGCCGAAUUCGUUCCCAAAGACAUCGACUCGAUCUUCUCCAACAAACUAAAUUUAGGCACCUUCAUAGCCGUGUCCAAAAAACACGCGGACGGUACCAAAAGUAACACCCUUAGUAGUUGUACUGAUCUACCGACGAGCUUUGCCAUCAUGAGCAUUUGGAACACGAAGGAAGUGUUUCGAAUGCAAGUGAAGGGCGCGUCGAGGGUCAGCCGGGCUUGUUGUGCCGCGUCGUGGAUGAUGGACACGUGGCUACCGUGUCUGAAGCUGCCGUCGAUCAACCCUAGAGUGUUCGGGGAGUUUGGAGUCCGGGUGGUGUACGGAUUGCACAUGGAAGGUGAAGGUGCGGGGAGGCUCAUGAAAGCUUUGUGUGGGUACGCACACAAUAUGGCGAUGAGUGACAAAGGGUGCGGCGGAUUGGUCGUUGAGGUGGGCCCGCGGGACCCGGUGAGAAAGGUGGUCCCACAUUGGAGGAGGUUUUCCUGGGAGCAAGAUAUUUGGUGCAUCAAGAAACUUGACGUAGAAGGAGAAGAGGGUGAUUAUGAGCCGUCCGAUUGGGUGACAUCUUCCGCGAAGUCGUCGCCAGUGAUUUUCGUUGACCCUAGAGAUUUCUGAUUUUGUGUAGUGAAACGAGAGAAUUUGGUUAGUUGUUGUAAAAUCCAGUUCAUGGAGUCUUCUUACCCGGCAAUCAAAAGGGUAACGGGGAAAGUAGAAGACGAUUUUAUAUUUCUUUUUAAUUAAUUUUUCGGUGCACAAAAAGGAUUUUUCGCAAUUUGUAAAUAAUAUCUUCAAAUUAUCAAAACAUUCGAAGUAUAUAUAAUCAUAGAAUUCACUAAAAAAUGUUUGAUAUGAGUGAUAAUUGUAUAAAGAAAAUUACUACUUAUUACAAGACAAUCCUAAUUACAAAAGAGUCUCUAAAUCUUAUACUCCUAACACCCUCCUCAAGUUAAUUAAGCUAAUCGGAUUGUAAAUGUUUAUGAGUCCAAACUUGAAUAAUGAUAAAAGAAAAGUCUUUUAGUAGUAGAAUCAUUGCUCGUAUCCGAGGGUGGUUGUUUGUUAAUCACGUUAAAAGUACGAUCAAAAUACACCAUUUUCAUUACAACAUUUUCUUUCUCAGAUAUUCCCCUCUUAAUUUUUGGGAGGACCUUGGUUGGUUCAAUAGAAAUUUUAGGGUGAAUACCCCUCUCAAUUUUAUCAGACAUUUUACAAUAUAACGAAUUGGUUUGAGUCCAGCCUAUUUGGAAGGAGUGUUGUUGAAGAGUAUAUGAUGAUGUUCAUAUAUAUAAAGGUAUACUAUAUUUUCUUAAUUGAUUCGUCUUAAUUUUGAGUUUAUGUGGAGUUUUUUUAAUACUUUUUGUUGAGAUUUUUUAUUGGUAUAUUUGAAAUAUAACUUGUUUUAGUUAUAACUUUUGGUUUAAUGAAAAUGAAAAAUUUAACGAAAAAAGAACGAUACCUCAUUAAACGGCACCACAUAGCUCGUAUAUUUCAUUGAAACGACAACACUUCAAUCAUAGGUAUUACAGAGCCAGUUAUAGAUAUGACUCACUUCCUGGAAACAUCAUCAUCAGACUAUUAGAGAUUGCAUUAUCACUUAAUUAAUCAAUGUCCACCUUCUGUUGUCACAACCUUGAUUCAUCAAGAAUGUAUCCGCCUUGAUUCAUCAAGCGUGGAGGCAUGCCUGCAAUUUGAUGUAUAAUAUGGUCGGAAAAAAAAGAAGGUCGAGAAAUCCCAAUCACUUAAAACAGUGCAGGGUUCCGCAAUAUAUAUGUCGAAAUUCGGUUCUCCAUAGUAAAAAAGUAAACAGUUAGAUAAAAAAAUGUUAGAAUUAAGCUUCGAUAUUAUUAUUUUGACCAUUAGCUUAACGGUCAAACGACAAUGUCAUUUUAUUUUAUAACGUUCUAAACUUAAUAAACGCUAAGUGCAAUGAUCAAUAACAUAAUUUCGUCAAUUGGGUGGGACUCAGUUAGUCAAAAUUCAGCCACGUGUCACGUAAUCCACAACUCCACCACCGCCGCACGUUCAAGUCAGAAAGCAAGACGAGGUGAGCUGAGCUGAGUAGAGCUUACUGAAGCGGACCAUGGCGCUUCCUAAAAUGGCUUCCUCGCCGAACUCCGUCUCUUCAAGUCAUUCCGGCCUCUCGAUCUUCCCCUCACCUCUCCGUAACUCAACUCCUCUCUCACUUGCGCCGUCGACAUCUGCCGCUCCGUGGCGCACGCGAAGUGGUGGCGGCAUUGGAGCACUCCUCCGGCAGAACAAUCGGCAAUGGCGGAAAUCAAUUAGAGCUCAAGCUGCUGUUACUCAAAGUAGCGGUAACGAUCCGAAGAGUGGUGUAGCCGUUUACAAGCCUAAGUCCUACGAGGUUCUCGCCGCCGAUGCCGCCAAUUCGCUGGCCUUCGCAAUUCAGGACGGCAAGCAAAGAAUGGAAAUCGAUUUUCCGUAAGUCUGCCGUUUCGCAAUUCUUGUGUUCUGACAUAAACUAAAGAGAUUGUAAUUUGAAUUUCUCGAUUUCUCUGCUAUUUCAGGCCCUUACCUAGCGACAUUUCUUCAUACAAGGUACCUUCCUGCUUACACACUUGCUUCCAAUUAUCCUUACAAUGCUUAACCUGUGUUGAUUCCUUCAUAAUGCUUUUCUUAAUUGUCAUUUAAUUUUCCGAUAUGGUUAUUAUUAUCCCAUUCGCCCUUUAGUGAGAACCAUGUGGAUGAGCUUAAACUUUGAGAAACAAACAUGUGUUUUAAUGUCGAGUACCUGACCAUGUGAAGGGGUCUUCAGAUGAGUUCAUCGACGCCAACAUUCAACUAGCAUUGGCUGUUAUCAGGAACCUGAAAGCGAGAGUCGAAACAAGAGCCUGCAUUGUAAGGCGACCAAUAGCUUGCAAACAAUAAAAGUUCAUUGUUUAAUGUUGAAUGUUCAUUCACAAUUCGAAUUAAAAAGAUGCCCUUUAUGUAUUUGUGUAUGCUUGAUUUCAGGUGUUCCCUGAUACGCCAGAAAAACGCAGGGCAUCUAAGCGUUUCGGAACCGCCAUUGACUCGGUAAAACCUCUUUCACUCGUUGGACUAUUCAUUUUAUGCAGCACAUAUUAUUGUGUCGCUAAAUCUCCUUUAAUCUGCCCUGGUGAUACUUUUUGCUUUGUUUUUUGAAUUCUUCUAGCGGCAUUUCCAUGGAUGUUCGCCCUCCCCCCCCNNNNNNNNNNNNNNNNNNNNNNNNNNNNNNNNNNNNNNNNNNNNNNNNNNNNNNNNNNNNNNNNNNNNNNNNNNNNNNNNNNNNNNNNNNNNNNNNNNNNNNNNNNNNNNNNNNNNNNNNNNNNNNNNNNNNNNNNNNNNNNNNNNNNNNNNNNNNNNNNNNNNNNNNNNNNNNNNNNNNNNNNUCAAGAAACUAUGAACAAAAUGGCGUUUAAAUUUGUGCACUACGUAUUGUAUGACAUGUACUUGCUAAAACUGCCUCCAGGUCGAAGGAAUAACUGUUGGUUCACUUGAUGAUCUCCCUAGUGGUCCUGUCGACAAUUUCUUCAAGUCUAUCAGGAGCACCUUAGAUUUCGAUUUCGAAGAAGAUAAUGAAGGUUAGUCCCACAAAGUAAAGUACUGGGUAAAAUUGUUCAUCAUUACUAACUUUUCCUGCUUAAAUUAUAUACUUGGAGCACUGGAGCUGUUUUACGUUAACUUUUUGAGCUGGUGCAUAUCCUUCUCCCUUUUUUCCUACUAUUAUAUAGCCGUUUCUUAGUUCAUGAUUCCACUUCCAUUCUCAGGUCGUUGGCAGUCAGAUGAGGCACCAUCGCUUUAUCUGUUUCUUAACUGCAGCACACGUGAAUUAUCUGGCAUAGAGAAGUAUGUGGUGAGUCUCUCUAGCACUUGAUAUCUCUUGAACCAGUUUUCUUGUAGCAUCUUGCUUCACUUGCUCGGUUCCUCCCUUUGGGUAUCUUGAACUUGAUUUCAUGUGUCUGAAGGCAUAGACAUGGUCUAUGGUAUUCAACAACUGAAUCAUCUGUUAUGAUAUAUAAUAUAGUUCCCUUUGUUUCCUUGACACCUUUUAAAUUCUCAAUUCCCGGAUGCAUGAAAUUUGCAGGAGAAAUUUGCUUCGGCAACCCCAACAGUUCUGUUCAAUCUUGAACUUGAUACGCUACGGUAUACAACUUUUAUCUUGUUUUCAUUGAUAUAUGUAGCGGCUUUGUUUACUUUUUUAAUCUGUGCUGAUGUACUAGUGAUCAAAUAAGUAAAUGCUUCCCUCUUUGUAGAGCUGACUUGGGUCUCUUUGGGUUUCCCACAAAAGAUUUGCAUUAUCGGUUUCUGUCUCAAUAUAUCCCAGUUUUCUAUAUUCGAAUUAGAGAUUACUCAAAGGUAACUAACUAAUCUUUGUUAAGUCAUCCUUCCAUUGUUUUAUGACUUGAUAUGUCAAUAACACGGUGCUCUUACUCAUCUAAGACAGUAGCAAUAGCACCUUACAUCGUCAACUACAGUGGCGCCUUAUUUCGUCAAUAUCCAGGUAUGAGAUGAAGCUUGUUUAAUUUAUCUGAAACACUCUUUUGAAAUACUCUUUUCGUUGAUUAACAAUUGUGUCUUCACUCUUCAGGGCCUUGGCAGGUUAUGCUCAAGCAGGCAGAUGGUUCUUAUGCUUGUGUAGCAGAGAGUAGUACACGCUUCACACUCGGCGAGGUAUAAAUCUCUUCCAGCCAAUAUGCAUCAGUUGAAGCAGUUGAAUACUAUGUAUGAUAAUGUUUUUGUGGACAAUUCUUCUCCAGACAAAAGAAGAACUAUUAAGGGUUCUCGGGCUUCAGGAGGAGCAGGGUAGCAAUUUGCAGUUUCUUCGUAGAGGUUACAGGGUAAUCUCAGUAUUCAUAAUUGGGUUGUCAUAUUGCUCUUUUAAAUCUUGUGAAGGAAAUGGCAUCAAUAUACUUAUUCCAAUACUGCAGGCUGCUACUUGGUGGGAAGAAGACGUUGACUUGGAAGAAUCUCAAGCAUGGCGUAGCUGACUAGCAACGGCAGCACAGGGGAUUCACUGGACCAACUGUUACAGGUUUCGCCGUUUCGGAAGUACAAAAUGGGUAGUUGGAGAUUCCACUUUUGUUUAUAUGAUUUCGUUUUCAUUUUUAUGAAAGGUGAAAUAACAUGGGGGGCUUAUGCUCUGUUGAAAAUAUAAUUUGAAUUCUGGAGAAAUUGUUGAAGAAAUAUAUCUAUAGAGAGUUAACCUUUUUUAUGUCUCGUUGUGCAAACUUAACAGUAGGAAUUUUUUUCCAAAAUGGAAGUAUGUAACCCAGAACGAAGCGAUAGAUCAUACAACAGGAGUUCUCCUAAUGUUCAAAAUCUGGCGCCGGCGGUCCCGAUGAAAACGUCAUAAUCCGAGGGUACUUCUGGCACCAGAGGAGGAGCCGGAACUGGCAGUGUGACGUCAGGCACUGGCGGCAGUGGAUCACUUUCAUCAACCGGCGGUGGUGAUAGUAUAACUGGAAAAUCUGGAGCCUCCGGUGUGAAGAAAUCGUCGGCAGCCGGUGGCGGAGAAGAGAAAACCGGUACAAGUGGAGUUGGAGUUACCUCUUCUGGCGGAGCUUGAUCUUGCUCUGGCGGUGUUUCGAACAUUGGCACUAACGGCGGAGCGGGUGUUGCAAAGCCGCCGCCUUGAUCCGGCUGCUGAUCACCAUCACCGUCAUCCGGCGGUGGCGGGGACAAGAAAACCAACGGUGGAACGGGUGUAAAUCCGCCUUGACCAUCCGGAUCCUGAUCGUUACCGCUAUCAUCCGGUGGUGGAGACAAGAAAACCAGCGGCGGAGGAGUGAAAUCCUGAUCACUCGGCGGCGGCUCGAAUUCUUCCGGCGGGUCAGGUGGCGUAUUAAAAUCAGGCACCAGCGGUGGGGAGUGCAUCGUGUAAUCAUCGUCUGCCGGGGGAGCAAAUAUGGGCACCAGCGGCGGCGGUGGUGCCAGGGUGACGCGGGCGGCGGCGGAGAAGGAACUAAAGGAGGCGGGGGAGGAGAUGCCGGCGGAGGGGGUGAUGGAGAUGGCGGAGGCGAAGAAGGCGGUGGAGAAACCACCGGAGUUGGUGGGGGCGAGGGAACCACCACAGGUGCAGGCGGAGGAGAUGGGACAAGCGGAAUGGGCGGAAGACGCGGUGCAAUAGGCGGGGGGGGGGGGGGGCGGUGGGAGGAUCGGCGCCGGGGGAGGAACCGUUGUUCCCGGGGGAUUGCGGCGGCGAGGUGCGGGGUUGAAAGGGUUAUCAGGAGAUGGAGAAGUAGGGAAAGGCCAUUGGCCACAGGUUCCAAAUAGGAAUUGGAAGAAUGGGUCGCAGUUACUUCUUCUUCCUCUUCCUCUAGUUCCUCCUCUGCCUCUUCCUCCUCUGCUCUGCUUCUCUGUUUCCACCCAGUUGCCUAGUGAUUGUGUUGCCAAGAGCAGAAAAGCUACUAAAAUGAAGCUUAUUUUCAUUUUGUGUGUUCCCUUUCUUUGAGAUGAUCACUUCAUAUUCAUUGGAAGUGUGGCCGGAAAACAUAAGAGUUACGAGCUGCAGCCAUUUCAGUGAUAUAUAUAUAGUAGUAUUAAGGUGGAUGGCAGAGGGAGUUUGGUGUAGAAGAUCAAUGGAGUCCAGUGGGCGAGCAUUGAUGGUGCAGAGCAGUGCAGUAAAUGAACCAACUGAUCAGAGCCGUAAAUGGAGACCGGAGCUCUUUCAUUUCGACUCCCAAUAGCUAAGAGGUGGUGUGUUUACUGCUUAGACUUCGUAAACGAUGCCGUAUGGGGGUGGAAAGAUGGGAAGUGUGGUAAUUGUUAGCUUGGUGUUUUGAAAGGAGUGUGUGUGAAUCGUCGACUGUCUUAAGUGGCGUUAAUGGUGCCUAGUUGUACGUGCCAUUUCUGGGUAAGAGUAGACUGCAGAGCAAGCAUGGAGUUAGAAGGAAGAGACUGAGGAGCUUAUUAAUGGCGUCUGAUCUGGUCUCCAUUGCAUGCAUAUCUCUUCACUGUUCCGCCACUCCACCUUGACUCCAUGUCAACUCGCCACCUGUCAUCGUCGAAUCUGCUAUCUGAGUUAGAUGGACAUGCAUGCAAGCUUUACUACAAAAGUUUGACAGAAAACUAUCUAUUGUUUGUUCUUAUAUGAAUGAAUAUUUUGGUACAUUUUGCUUCGAGAACAAAGCACAUUGCUCGGUCAGUUUGGUGUAAGGUCUUUCAUGCAUAGCAAAUCAUCUGAGGCAUGUGCCGGAACACACAACAACUACUCCAUUUGGAAAGGAUCAAUGCGCCAUAUUUCGGGAACCUCGCCACCAAACCAAUGUACACGCUAUGGAAAGCCAUUUUUGCACCAAAAUCAUGCGACCGCGCUCGAUCCCGACUGUUGAUGGUGAAGUAUAUUUGUCUAGGGCUAAGAUCUCAUAAAGUGGGCUGAUAAGUCACUCUAUAGGAUUGCAGUCGCACGUCAACUGAUGUGGAGGGAGCACCUCGGCGUUACUGAUUGAUGUAUCAACUUCUAUUAUUGUAUUAGUUAUUAGACUCUCGUAUGUUAUCACUUAUUUUGUAAAUGAGAAAAAGUAUAAUUGUUCAAUGAGAAAACUAUACACAAUGACAAAAAGUAUAAUUGUACAAAGCUAGUACACUACAAGUAUAACAUGAUUUCCCAACAAGCAGCUAGCGAUGUAAAUGAUUGAGUGCGACCCAUCCCAGUUGCCAAGUUUAUGAUCGUUUUGGGGGCAAAAUUACGACCGUGGAUCUUGAAUUUCCAGCAUUUUCAAAGGGCACCAAAUCACAUGAUCGCCAUGAUAUUGAUCCCACUUGUGCACACUAUUUUCUUGGUGAAAUUAUAGCAUGUGAUUUUUAGUAUGACAAUUUACAUGAAAAUGUACUUUUUCUGUUUUUCUUGGUGAAAUUAUAUCGCACUUUAUACCCUAUAUAUGACUGUUUGCAUAAAAAAUUAUUAAAUGAAUGUCCAUGUUCAUUUGGAUUCUUCGAGCACCGAGCAACAAAGGUCAAACCUUUACAGAAAAAAGUAAUCAGGUUAGCUAACCGCCACAUGAUAGUUUGUCAAGUUGCUACCUCACCCUUAUCUGAGCCUGAAAUUAAGUAUAAACUAAUCCCAAAAAUUAACAUAAUAUAAAGACGAAAAAACCCAGAAAACCCAGAAAAGACGUACUUACCUGUCCCUCUGAAACAGUACCUUUUAGUCUUUUCACACCCCCCCAGCCAGCCAGAUUUCCUUUUCCCCAAACCCACCACAACAAAGUUCAAAUUCAAAAGAAACUUCCCUUUCAUCGUCCCACCUUCCAUUUUCCCUCCUCUUCCUUCCUACUUUCUCCCUUUACCCCUCUCAAAUCUCCCCCCCCAUUAAGAACGACGAUGAACCUUCUUCCUCCUCUCUUCUUGUUGCCAUUCUUCUUCCUCUCCAUUGAUGCCAGGCCCGACGCCACUUUCCCCCCAUCCUCACUUCCUCCCAAUAACCAACCAGCUCCUCUGCUCUCCCCACAAACUGCAGCUUCAUCUCCAGGUUAGGAAUUCUGGGUUUGCAAUGCAGCUUUUCAAUUUGUCAUUUCAUCUGUCAAAGAUUGAAACUUUUAGGUUUUUUAUUUUCAAUGCAGAUAUGGGUUUGGUCAGAGUAGUAGUGCACGGCCAAGACUUGAACAAGAAAAUCCUCAUAGCACUGAUUGUAGCUUCCACUCUGCUGGGUGUGAUCUUGUUAACCCUGUCAAUAAAAUGGAUCUACUGGCUUAUUACCACCAAGGCCAAAAACAGGCCAAAUAAGUUAGAAGGUGGUGGUGCCAAAGGCUCUUCUUCCUUGGAUCCGAUUUCGGAUUCGUUAAGUUCGUUGAGGCUGGCUGGGAAGAAGAAGAACUCCAUUGUGGUUAUGGAGUAUAAGUUGUUGGAAGGUGCAACCAACUGUUUCAAUGAAGGCAAUGUGCUUGGGGAAGGUUGUCAUGGGCGUGUCUAUGGUGCUUAUUUUGACAAGAAGCUCUCUGCUGCUGUUAAGAGAUUGGAAGGUAGAGGGCAAGAUGUUGCGAGAGUGUUCGAGGUGAAUCAAUCACUUUGUCUGCAAAAAGAACUUAUCUUUGUUGCUGAUGGAUUCUGAAUUUUACCAUCUAUGUUUGGUGAUGAUUGUGUUUAUGCAGAAUGAGGUGAAGUGGCUGACUAAGUUUGACCAUCAGAACAUAAUUUCUGCGUUAGGCCACUGCUGUCACAAUGGAACCAGGUUUCUGGUGUAUGAAAUGAUGCAAAAUGGGUCUUUGGAGAGUCAAUUGCAUGGUAUAUAUUUGUCACAGAGUUACUGCAGUCAAGUUCUUAGCUUUAUCACUUCUUAGACCUAUGCUGUUAUAUUGCAAAUUCAGGAGCUACAAAUGGAACAACAUUGACUUGGCAUCUUAGGUUGAAAAUUGCAGUUGAUGUUGCUAGGUAACUGCUUAAAAAGCUCCAGUCUUUUCCUUCUUUUCUGUUGUUUCUUACUUCCUUUGAUGGGGUUUUCCUUUUAGGUUGAUGUUAUAACUGGUUGUCUAUUGUUGGAAACCCAGGGGGCUAGAGUAUCUUCAUGAGCAUUGCAACCCUCCAGUUGUACAUAGAGACAUCAAAUCAUCCAACAUUCUUUUGGAUUCUGACUUCAAUGCCAAGGUAAACUUUCAUAUCACCAAUCAAGGUUCAAUCUUCUAGAGUUUUGAAUUAUUGAGGAGGUUUUAACUGUUUUCUUUUUCAAUUAUCUCAGCUUUCAGACUUUGGGUUAGCAGCAACAUCUGGGAACCAAAACAAGAACAUAACACUUAAAGGAACACUAGGCUACGUAGCCCCAGAGUACCUUCUCCACGGUAAGCCUAAGUUCACAUUUCGGUACAUGAAACCGUUAUUUGUUAACGAAUUCUCUUAUAUAAACCAAUUUUGAACCUUCCCGGCAACAACUUAACUUAUAGGAUGCAACUGUUUCUCGGCAUGGUAUUAGUCUUUGACUAAAAGUCGUACUAUUGAAUCAUGUUAGUCCUUGAUAUCACCAUUUCACUUAUACAAGACUUGGUGGACCUGUGCAAACUUUAUUUCGGAUUUUUGUAGUCAGCCUACACAUGCUAUAGUCUCAUAGUCUUUCUUUAUCAAUUAUAUUGAGUGUCACAAUAUAGUAGACCGGUUACCUGGUUGGUUUAAUGUUAAUAUAUAAGCCAUAUUGGAAAUUUAUGAAUAGGGGUAAAUCUAGGGGAGCCUCUUUCAGACCAUUGUCCAACCCAUAUAUGAGUCUAGAGCUCUGACAUGACAUAAUUUUCCUUUUAUUUUGAGAUGAAUUAGCAUAUUUUUAUAUUUGGUCUAGUUUAUUUCAAAUUUAUAUAAUUUUUGAGUGCAUUGAAUCAUUUUGGACCCGGCGAUGUUUAUGAACCCUUUGAACAGGCGAACUGACAGAGAAAAGUGAUGUAUAUGCAUAUGGGGUGGUUCUUCUUGAGCUCCUGACUGGAAGAAAGCCAGUAGAGGAAUUGUCAUCAGAACAGUGCCAAUCAUUAGUGUCAUGGGUAUACUAACUACAUCUAUUCAAUUACUUGUGAAGUAACAAUUUUUUUCUCUGACACCAAUCUUUUGGAAUGCAGGCAAUGCCCCAACUCACAGACAGAAAUAAGCUUCCAGACAUCGUGGACUCGACGAUGAAGGAUAGCAUGGAUCUCAAACAUCUAUACCAGGUGAUUAUUGACAGAUCAUCAAGUAAUUAAUGCAACAGUUUGAGGAUUAACUUGUGACAUUAAUCAUAUGGUUGAAUAUUAAUAAUGCAGGUGGCAGCAGUGGCGGUGUUGUGUGUGCAACAAGAACCAAGCUAUAGGCCAUUGAUCACAGAUGUUCUUCACUCCCUCAUUCCUUUAGUACCUCUUGAGCUUGGAGGAUCUCUAAGGAUCAUUUACAGAGAUGAUGCCGACUAACGUCCUUUUCUUUCUCUUUAAUUUCCCCUUUUCCCCACUUUAAUUAAGUAGCACAGAUGUAAUGACUAGAUUACAACGACAAGAAUUAACGAAACUUCCAAAGACCUCUCGGCACCUUGUUUGCCUGUGUUCUAUUAAUACUACCGCUCAACAAGGUUUCUACUACUGAAAACAUCGCCUCCUUCCGGGAAACUGCAGACUGCCCGGCUUAGCUUUCUCUCUAUUCACUUCUCUUGCAAAUUAAUCACUAGAUAUUGUUUCUUACACUGUAUACUACUCCACUUUUCCCCCCCUUUCUUUUCGAUGAUUUAGACUGAUCUCAAUUGUGUUCUUAUUUAAUAAAUAUGAAUUAUGUCGCAUAUCCUACUUAGCCGCCACGUCACACAACAUGCUAGGUUGAUAAAAAAAACUUAACGUGAGACUUGUUUGUCAACAGUUGCAUAAUAAAAGGGCUUAAUUCGAGUAAAACAUAGUAGAGUGAUUCGUUUGUUAACUUUGCAUAAUACGAGGCUUAGUGUAAUAACCCUUUAUAUAACAAGAAGUCACAUUCCAUUAGUUAGGCGCAUACAUAAAUAAACUCAAUGUGAGAAAAAUCAUUCUCCCUCUUUUCCGAAAAUCAAAUGGCCAAUUUCGGCAACUGUUUUUGCAACAAAAAGAGCAAGGUAGUCCGGAUUGUAUACCCAGGCGGUCACAUCGAGCUCCACGACAAUCCUAUCCUCGCCGGAGACAUCAUGGCCAAGCACCCCAGAUUCACGGUGGCCCGCCCAGAAGUGUUCCGGCAGCCGUUAUCAGCGGUGGUUUCGCCGGAGACCACACUGAUGCUUGGCCAGAAAUUCUAUGCGGUCCCGACGAGUACCAUCAGGAAGCUUCAGAGGAAGUACAUUAAGAGUAACCCAUCAUCAUCGGCUGAAGGUCAUUAUCGUAAUUGUGUUUAUGAUAAUAGUAGUAAGAGGGGAGUUGGUUGCUUAAGCAACAUGAUUACAAUGAUGACCGGUUCGGGUCAUCAUCGUAAUCACGAUGUUAAUGACGAUCAUCGUAUGGUGCGGAUUGUUUAUAAUGGGAUCGUAGCUCCGACAGCAGCGGGAGCUUUGGAUCACCGGCUGGGAAGAGAUCACCGGCGUCGUCGCCAAAGAAAGGGAUGCAUAUGGAUUAUUACUGGACACCAAAUCUUGAAAGCAUCACUGAAUAAAUCAGCUAGCUAUAUGGUAGGGAUGUGAUUUUUUAUAAUUAAACGAGUUAUAAUGAAAUCAAGAUGGUAGAAUAUCCGUGAGUCUAAAAUUUAAUUGAAUAGACUAUCUCAAAUAUAAAUUUUCUAUUUAAUUCUAUAUUAGAUAGAAUUUCAUCACUAUAUAAUAUCAAAAUAAUAAUAAAAGUCCAACAUUAGUUUUAUUAAUGUGUGUAUACACAAUGCAUUGUGUAAUGUUUCUAUCCACAUUAUACUAUGUGUGUCACGAAUAUAGACAUAGUAUGCAUAUCAUAAUUAAUUUGUAUAUGCAUUUAUCCAAACAAACAUUAACUUUUGUAGGUGGUAUAUAUGGAUGUGAUACAUAGAACAAGCAUAGAGCAUGUUUGAAUCAUAUACACGUCUGAAAAUAUAUAUAGGACUACAUUAAAAAUGAAUUAAAAUGCGACACUUUCAACAUUUUUUAUUAAUCUUUUUUUUAUCUGCAUCCCACCAAUCAUAUUUCAUUUCCCUUAUUUUCUUUUUAAUUUUUCUCUUUAAAUUUGUUUUCCUUNNNNNNNNNNNNNNNNNNNNNNNNNNNNNNNNNNNNNNNNNNNNNNNNNNNNNNNNNNNNNNNNNNNNNNNNNNNNNNNNNNNNNNNNNNNNNNNNNNNNNNNNNNNNNNNNNNNNNNNNNNNNNNNNNNNNNNNNNNNNNNNNNNNNNNNNNNNNNNNNNNNNNNNNNNNNNNNNNNNNNNNNNNNNNNNNNNNNNNNNNNNNNNNNNNNNNNNNNNNNNNNNNNNNNNNNNNNNNNNNNNNNNNNNNNNNNNNNNNNNNNNNNNNNNNNNNNNNNNNNNNNNNNNNNNNNNNNNNNNNNNNNNNNNNNNNNNNNNNNNNNNNNNNNNNNNNNNNNNNNNNNNNNNNNNNNNNNNNNNNNNNNNNNNNNNNNNNNNNNNNNNNNNNNNNNNNNNNNNNNNNNNNNNNNNNNNNNNNNNNNNNNNNNNNNNNNNNGGUAGAAUCCUAAAAAACGAGUAGCUCAUGUAUUACCGCGACACCAGAUAUAGUAGAUUGUAAAUCCUUAGGCAAAAUCCUAAAAAGUGAGUAACCCGUGCAUUACCGCGGCACCAGACACAUUAGCCUGUAAAUCCUUUAAUAUCUUAAUGUGAUUUUAUAAAUUUAAGAAUCAUGUGUAAUUUGAAUGAUAAUUUUAACUAUUGUUAUGGUUACUCAACCAAACCCAAAACGAGUGAAAGAAAGUUAAAUUGGUAGAGUACUUUUAAGUUGUGUAUAAAUACAAAAAUUAUUAACACGUACGGGUAAGACGUGGACAGUAAAAUAUCAUCUGUUAAACCAUAAUUAAACUCUAAAUGUUCAAUCAAAUUAUUAUUUUGGUUAAGUCACGACCGUAGCCCCACGCAUUACCGCGGCGCCACUAAGCACAUUAGCUUGUUUCUCAUAUUUUAUUUGGGGAAGGUUUUGAAAAAGAGAAAGGUGUUCGUGAGAUAAUUGCAGGGAGCCCUUCAUAGUUUGACGUGAAGAUGAGGAAAAAUCACAGUUGCAAGAAGAGCUUAAUGAGUGGAUAUGUUCAUUAGAGUUAUCUAGACUUUAUCUCCUACAAUUCCGAUAUAAUUGCGAUUCGAUCGCAGUUUAAUUAUGAUUUAUAAUGAUUUAAAUGGAAAAUACUUAACGGUAAACUAAACUCUUCACAUCCACAUAUAUAAUGGCUCAUAACACAAUUAACUUACAAAAACCCUCAAUUGAUCCAUUAAAAGAAUCUUGAAUGAAGGAUCAUAUUAUAUGAGUUUAUGUUUGAUAAAUAUGUCCGAUUCAAAUCGAAUCAACACAAUCGAUGUUCUGAAUUAGUUAAGCCAUAAUAAUCGUAACCCUAUUAACUUCUAAAAAAAUGACAUCAAACGGCUUGUUAAAAGAAUCCUAAACGAUUGAUCAUAUCAUAUGAACUAUGCUUAGGUUUUAAGGAUUUGUCCAAUUGAAAUAGACUCAAUGUUGAUUAGCUAGAUCGGAAGAGCGGUUCAGCAGGAUGCGUAACUCGAUUAACUUACCAAAACAGAAUCUUAAUUGGCCAAUUUUAAAAAAACUCGGAUUAAAUCAUUUAAGAUUUUUUUAAUGUCGAUAAGAUAUAUGUUAUUAUAUGCUAUCAUUAAGAAGAUAUAUGCUAUUAUAUAUUAGGAUGAAUCGUAUCAUAGGCCCGUUACAUGGUUAAGGAACAAAUUUCUUAAAAGUUCUUGAAUUUUGUUUAUCGUAUAGUAGAUUUCAAGAAAUCAUAGAAUGUAUUUUUUUUGAAAGUACAUCAUAGAGUGUAUAUUGGUCGAACUCUUUUAGAAUCAUUGAGUUUGUUAGUCGAACUUUAUUGGGUCGUUUCGGUGGGUGAUUUGGAUAGGUGAUUUGGGGUUAUUUGGACCUCCAAAGAGAUUCCGUCUCAAAUCACCCGUUUGGGACAUAAAAAAGAAAAGAUAUUUGAUGAGAUUUGAAAUCACCUUGUGGGCCUGGAGAGAAUUUCGUGGGUGAUUUCAAAUCACCUAGGAGAGGUAGAGAUUUCGGAGGAGGGAGGGGAGAUCUGAAAAUUCUUACCAAAUUACCCUUAAAAUCACUUUCUAAUUUUGAGUAUAAAGGGUAUUUUAGUCGUUUUCUUUUUUUCACCUCUUUAUUGAACUUUAUCUUUCUGUAAUAAUUGCACUCAAAAUCACCCAUAGAUCACCCAUCAAUAUUUAUUUAUUUAUAACCAUUAUAACCUUUAUUUGUAAGUAACCGUCGAUGCACGCUUAGCCAGGAAAAGUGCCAAACUCGGUGUGGGCCUCGCUAGUUCUAAAUCAUGCGCCAAUCCACUAAAGGGCCGAAUCGUGCUUCGCGAGGAUCUCAUAAGCAGAGCGAAUUCUAAUAAAUCAUUAUUUUACACAGNNNNNNNNNNNNNNNNNNNNNNNNNNNNNNNNNNNNNNNNNNNNNNNNNNNNNNNNNNNNNNNNNNNCUGAUUAUGUUUUGCAACAUUCAAAACUUAACUAAUAAUUUUUUAAUUUUGGUUUAAAAGUUGAGGUUUUGAUUUUGAAUAGAAACGAGUAAUCAAGUCAUUAAGCUUUUACUAAUAGUCAUCAACUAUGAAUUAAGAAACAAAUGGAGUGAUUUAAAGAGAGAACUCGAGAUGAUUUUUGGUGUGUAUUUAUUUCCUAUUUUUGAUCCAAUUUUAGUUUAUUAGUGGUGUUAUAAUAUACUUGAUAUUUCCGAGAACAAAAUGAUUAUGAAUGAAGAUUUUGGACACAAACAAACAUGUAGAGAUAAUAAAUUUAAGAAUGCUUUACUGCCAUGAAUGAAAUAAUACAUUUUCUCAAUCACCAACGAUUGUUACAAAUAUGUCCAAUCUCAUACACGAUUGGAUUAUUCCUUUAAAAACUCAUAACAUCAAUCAUUAAAGAAUUAGAAACAAAUGUAUUCUUUUAUUCUAAACCACUCCUAAUAACCUCUGGUUGAUCAAUGAGUCGAAUGCACUCAAAACUUCUUAGGAACUUCAAAGCUCCCCACUCAACGGCAAUCUGAAACCUCUCAAUCAAUCAGCUUAGUUGGCAUGUUGUCCCCAAAAUCAAUCAAACAGUGUAAUGCUGUUGGAUUGUCUCAAUGUCCAAUCCCUUUAGCUUCACCACAGACUCAACAUGUCCCUUCAAAGUGUGGAGCUCCCUUAGCCUAGCAACCUCGGCGCGCCUCUUUGCUUGCUCUGCGAUCUCCGACAGUUCCCUGUAGUUGGUCUUGUCGUUGAAGAGCUGAUCUGCGUUCUCUGGGGGCUGAAGUCCGUGGAGGGUGCGUUGAUCUGCCGCCCAUUGAGCCUCCCUCUCGCCUUUUCCGAAGUCGUUCUUGUUGUUGAAAGCAGUCUGAGGUUUUCACAUGUUAGUUCUUCCAUUAAUGGUAUACUUGUUCAUCAAGUAACACAUUGUUAAAAAAUACUUACCCUUCUUUGAGUAACAUUGUCCCAGGCUUUGCCGCUCAAUGCGUAUCGGAUGAUGAACUUAAGGACGUCGAGUGGAAUGUAGAAUAUGAUGCUGUAAAGCCAGAUGACUCCUGCCCAUCCCCACCCGAUUCCCUUCACCCUUGCGAAUUCCCAGUUGGCAUAUACCGCAAUAAGUGUUGCAACCUUGCAAACAAAAUUGUAAAUGUCAGUCCACGAGCCUAUCGAGAAAAAGUCGCUACUAUGUAUCAAAGUCGUGAAAUUUACCAAUUGGGCAACAAGGAAUGCGAAUAGAAGCAUUAAUCCAGGGCGUUCGACAAAGGACCAGCUUCUUGAUCGGGUGACAAAGAUGAGUGCUUGGCUCACAAUACUAACUUGCAAGUACAAAGCUGAAGUCAACUCAUCUGGGUUGUUCCUAAUCGACCUCACAUGGAACUUCUCCGAGAAAAAGUCAGAGCCGUAAGCACCAAAGAAGAAGAUGACUGUCAUUACAGCCAUAUAAGUACCCAACACAACACCAGUAGCGAAGAUCUCCUUAAGCUUCCAUGAAUCAGGCAUUGGAGACGGCUUUACCCUAUCCUUGGAGAUAGUCAUGAUUGUGCCGUCAUUAAGGAUGGCAAUGAUGAGAACCAUGAAAGGGGAGAAGUCAAACUUCCAGAUGAGUGCAAUCAACAUGAAUCCAAGCACAAUACGGAUUGUGAUAGAGACUGCAUAGAUUGUGUAGUUCUUCAUCCUCUGGAAGAUGGCCCUGCUGGUUAGCACAGCGCUGACAAUCACACUGAGUCCAGGCUCGGUGAGAACGAUAUCGGAGGCACCCCUGGCUGCAUCAGUAGCAUCUGCCACUGCAAUUCCAAUGUCGGCUUUCUUUAAUGCUGGAGCAUCAUUCACACCAUCUCCAGUCAUACCACAUAUGUGUUUCUUGUCCUGAAGCCUCUUCACGAUUUCGUACUUGUGUUCCGGGAAGACUCCAGCGAAUCCGUCGGCCUUCUCGAUCAACUCGUCAACCGGGAUGCUUGCAAUUGACUCGUCCUUGUGUUGGCCAAGAAGUGCUGAGGAUGGGUACAUGUUGGUCCCCAUACCAAGCCUACGUCCAGUCUCUUUUCCGAUGGCCAGCUGAUCACCAGUGAUCAUCUUGACAUUCACACCAAGAUGGAGAGCACGUCUGAUUGUCUCAGCACUAUCGUGUCUUGGUGGAUCAAAGAGUGGCAAGAGACCAACGAAUUGCCAUGGUCCUCCAGCGCUUUCCUUUGUCUUCUCUGGCACAGUCUGGAAAUUUGAACAAUGGGAUAUCUUAAUAUGUGUGACAAUUAGUAUUGCUAACCAAGUAAGGAGAUAUAGAGAAAGGAACUCACUUGGCGACCGACAGCCAAUGAACGCAAGCCACGAUCAGCAAACUUGUCAAUGAUGGAAAGAGCUUUCUUCUUGACAUCAGGAGAAAGAUUGCAAAGCUCAAUAAUUUGCUCUGGAGCACCUUUGCUAGCUCUAUGCCAGUUUCCUUGCCCGUCAAUGUAGGUGAUAGCGGAACAGUGGGCAUGGCAAUGGGGAUUCCUCCAAUGAGAAGCACCAAGAGAUUGUCGAUUCCAUCUCUGUACCUCCUGUGUUGGAUUGGGUACAUCACUAUGAUCUCAACAAGCAUACCCGCAGCAAUUGAGCAUAUACAAAAGUUUCCAAUUGCUGUCAACACCUGCGUAAUUAACAAAAAAAAAUAUAUUUAGGCAAUUUAUCAAACAUUUGGUGGGCAUGCUAUUUUUUCACAUAUUAAUUAAUCUUCCCUACCUUUUGGAAAUGUCCUUCGUUGUUGGUGCUAUCCACGAGGUGAGCUGCCUUACCGAAGAAGGUGUGAACUCCCGUGGCUAUAACGACGGCUUCAAGCUCACCCUGUUUACAAGUGGAGCCGGAGAAAACUUCGUCGCCGGAGUUUUUGGUCACAGGCAAGGACUCUCCGGUGAGAGCAGACUGAUCGAUCUUUAAAGGAUCACCUUCAAGGAGACGCGCAUCAGCUGGGACGAUAUCUCCCAACUUGAUGCUGAUCAUAUCUCCAGGAACUAAAAGAGCAGCAUCUUGCUCAGCCCAUUUCCCAUCUCUCAACACUUUCGUCUUGGGAGCCAGUCCUGCCAUGAGAGCAGCUGCGGCAUUUCCCGCGUUGUUUUCUUCGAUGAAACUGAUAGUCGAGUUGAUCACCAGGAGCGUCACGAUUCCGACGAAAUCUUGCCAAUCCGGUGGUUUCCCCUGAAAAUCAAACACAUUUAGUCAUAGAGAAACGAAACAAAUCAACAGUAGAAAUAAUAUGGUGUUUAAUCAAUUACUCCUCCGUUGGCCAAAGCAAUAGCCAUAAUGGCUGCAAUCUCCAUGACCCAUGACAGAGGAUUCCACAUGAAUCCAAGAAAUUUGAGAAAUUUGUUCUCUUUCUUCUCUUCGAGCUUGUUUGGCCCGAAGAUCGCCAGCCUUUUCUGUCCUUCAUCGGCCGUCAGGCCGCUCCUCGAGCAUUGCAGCUGCUGGAACACUUCCUCCACCGGAAUGCGCUCCUAUAUAUAAAAAAGAAUACACAGUAAAAAUCCAUCAAACACCAUUUUAGAACAAAAAAGACACCAAAUGUAGAUUGAUGGGAGAACUCACAAGGUCGACAUUCUCAUUUUUUAUUUCUUCCAGGCCGAUUGCCAUCUUUGCGUUUUUUCACCUUUAUCUGAACCAGAGCUCUGUAAAUUUUUAUUCAAAAAGUUACUUUAUUACUGGGGUGAAUAAUGAAAAGUUAACUCUGCUUAUUUAACUACAGAAGAGAGGAAGAAGAGAGAACAGGUAAAUAAAAGCACUUGAGAUGUGGUGAAGCUGUUUGUAUUCUGUGUCCUUUUUUUAUAACUCAAGCAGUAACUAAGUUUAACCGUGGUAAUUUUUUUAUCCAACUCAGUCUUCCCAACCAUGCGAACUACUUGCAGUUCUUUGUGGCUUAUCAUUUAACUCCCCGUUUUUUACUCUUUUGACUCAUUCUUUUUUACUAUUUAUUGGGUUUUUUCUAUUUAUGACGCAUAUUUUCAAUUUUUACUGUUUUGUGGUAACUCUACUUUUACUCUUCAUCUCUUGUUCUUAAUUUUUGUUACAACCCGACACGUUAUUACUGUUUGUUUUUUUUAUUUUUUACCAUACAGAUGUCUGGCUGCUUGCUGCUAGAGUCAGUUGGCCACGGUGUUUACAAUUUUUAUUUCUGUAACAAUUCUCUACCCGUUAGUGGAGUUAUACAAUAAGUAUGUUGUGGUAUAAAAACAGUCUAAUAUUUUAAUUUNNNNNNNNNNNNNNNNNNNNNNNNNNNNNNNACUCGUACCUUUAUACACACAUAACCUUGCUGAAAAUUGCACUUACGAAUGUACAACCUUCGUGUUCCAAUUUUUGUUUAUCUCGACAAUGAUGUGAAUUCAUAAAUAGAAAAGGUACUUAUUUCACUAAUUUGACUCACCAAUUUGUCUCACCACUUAUAAUGUUACCUUAUGAAAAAGUAUGAAAGAUAAUAUUUUUACAUGACGUGAAUAAAAUAUAUAUGAAUAAUUGAUAAUUGGUCUAAAAAGUUAGCAUUCACACUUGAAUAAUAAGAUAACAAACUAAUUCUCCCAUACUAAAUACUUCUCUUAAAUAUUCCAAAAAUCAUCGUAAUUAGUUUUGUGCAACUUUAUGUUAAUCAAUGAUCCGAUAAAUUCAAAAUAUAACUCAAUUGAUUGAUUGAACGGGAUAAGUAAAAAAAGAAGUAAAACACAGCCACCUUCGGAGAAGAAGCCAUGUAAGUAAGGGUCAACUCUACACGUUUGCAGAUUGAAAUAAAAUUUUGGCUCCGCCUCUAACUAUUAAUGAAAAAAAGUAAAAAAAGAGAACGGAUCGAUAAAAUUCAAACGGAUCAUCUAAAACAUCGAUCGCGUAUAUAUGAGUGGUCAUUUCCCCGCUCGAUUUAAUUUAGCAAACUACUCCUCAAAACAGGACAUAAUGUUCAAACAUGCCGAUGUCGUAUUUUUUGGGUAUUUCUAGAUACCCUCGAAUGGACUUUCGAAACUGUGCAGUCCAGUUUCAGAUGAUAGGAUAUAUAAACAGCCACCUUGGGAGAAGAAAGCCAUUUAAGAAAGGGACUCUACACGUCUGCAGGUUUGAACAAUUACAUCCAUCCACCACUUUUGACCAAAUCGAUACAAAUUUACGAACUUUGUCAUGAUCGAUCGGUACAUCCAUCCACCAAGUCUUAACUCUUAAGACAGCAAAGAGAUUGACAAUAUUGUCAAGUGGCUAGCGUUCCAAAUUCGAUGCUGUAUGCUGAGAGCUUGCCUCAGAGUCAUAACAUCAAACGGUAGAAAAGUCUUCAUUCGAUGCUUAAUGCUGUUUCUCAAGUUUCCAGUGAGAGCUUCUUUCUUAUUUCCUUAGUCACCAAGGAUUCAUCUCCUGGCCUAUAUAUAUACCCAUUUCUUCAACCAGUACAAUACACACCUACCUCAGUACUUCAAUACUUCUACUCAUCGUUCCCCAACACAAUCUCCCAUACAUUUUCUGCUCAUGGUAAGAUACUAUUUUGAUUACUUAUUGUUAACACUCUGGUUCUUUUUCUCCUUUGUCGGUGAAGUUUGGUGAUGAUUAACAAAUUAUACCGGUUAAAGGUAUUAGUGGUACGGGAUUUAAUGGUUCAAUCUAAUAAGGUGUCAUAUUAGACACAUUAUCAAAACUCUUGAGUACGCUCACUAUCAAUACGUUAUGUUGAUGUAAACACCAUUUUAUCGUAGAAAUCGAUUGAACAAUGGUCUAGUUCAACAAUGGUCCAUUUUCCCUCUCUUUGUUUUGUUCUAACUUGCUAUCUUGCUUGUUUCCAAACACAUUUGGGAUCCUGGUUGGACAAAUAUCAGGCUGUCCAAAUUGAGGUAUAUACCUAAAGUUCCAAUUCCAUCCAUCUAUCUCCUCCUCCUGUUUAAUUUCAAUCUUAAUGAACAAGAUUCUAAGUGUAUGUAAAUGUAUGGUGCAGAAAACCUUUUUCCAAGCUUCAGAGAGGGUCAAGUCAGUAGAUUUCCAUACAUCUCAGCCGUGGUACGUACUUAAUACUUUCUAGGCUUGGCACUCGACCAUGUGAAAAUGCAGUUUUAGGGAUCAUAUAAAACUGAACCGGUUACUGUUCGAGCAAAAUGGCAAUCAGUAACCUUUAGUGACCCAAGCAUAGUCUCAUAAUUACGGUGCUUGGAACUGCAUUUCUUGUAGUAUAUGCAUGAAAUUUAUGAUCGGUUCUUUGAUUUUUUGUAGGAUUUUGUCGAGCUUGCAUUCAGGACAGGUCUGCAUUUGGAACUUCCACACUCAGGCACUGGUGAAGUCCUUCAAGGCCACGGAUUCCCCAGUUAGAACAGCCAAGUUCAUUCCAAGGAAGCAGUGGAUUGUGACAGGAUCCGACGACGGAAAGAUCCGGGUCUAUGAUGAAGAUUCCUUUGAGCUUAUUAAGGAGUUUGAUGCUCACCAGGAUUUCAUCAGAAGUGUGGCUGUCCACCCCACGCUUCCGAUCUUGAUCUCAGCUUCUGACGACAAGGCUGUGAAGCAGUGGGAUUGGGAGAAAGACUGGGAAUGCACUCAAGUCUACGAUGGACACUCGCAUUACGUGAUGCAGGUUGUGUUCAAUCCACUGGAUGCCAAUACAUUCGCAACUGCAUCACUUGACAACUCCGUUAAGGUACAUACAUCGUAACAUCCCGACAAAAGCGCUUUUAACUUUAGAGUUCUUAUCAAAAAAAAUUUUGGCUGCAGAUAUGGAAUCUUGGAUCCCCUGCUGCAGUUGGGUCGUUGGACGGACACCUGAAAGGAGUGAACAGUGUGGAUUAUUUGGUCUCCAAAGAUGAUCACAAACUGUACCUUCUGAGUGGCUCUGAUGAUUUCUCAGUUAAAGUCUGGGACUUGGAAACAAAAACUUGCGUCCAGACUCUGGAAGGCCACACGAACAACGUUUCAGCAGUGGCUUCCCACCCGGAGCUCCCAAUCUUCAUUUCCGGAUCCGAAGAUGGGACCAUUAACAUCUGGGAUGCCACCACUUUCAAGUAAUCAAUCAUUCAACUUCUCACAGCUAAUCCGGGAUUUCGUUUACUCUUCUGGUACUGAUGUAUGAAUGAAUAAUCAUUGUUUCAUUUGCAGAGUUAUCGAAACUUUGAACUACAGCCUGGAAAGAGUGUGGGCUGUUGGGUACAAGCAUGGCUCAAAGCAGUAAGUGUCUCAACUAAUCAUUACCAUAGUCAAUCUUCCAUCUGAUAUUUUGGUUCAGAAAUUAACAUCUCUUUUUUUGGCAGGGUGGGAUUUGGGUUCGACAAAGGGACUGUUAUGGUGGAUGUUACCAGCCUUUAGUUUCCCCAGCAACUGCUGCUGCUGACUUGGCCAUCCUACUACUACUGUUUUCUCUCUAUGUUUAGUUACUUUCUGUGUGUGUGUUUGUGUGUUGGAAUAAACUAUCAGAUGCUAUCUAGUGUUGUCUUUCUCCGUGUUUCAAUGGCGAUAUGCGAAAGCUUCUACAAUUCGUGCAAAUUUCAACACUUAUGGUUCAAAUGUUUUACUCCUUACAACUCUAAACCGAAACUGAUCUCUAUGGACAACCAAUGAACAAACAAGCGCAUGCAUACACACAAAAAAUCCAAUGUAAGGAUUCAUUUCUCCUAUCUCUGCGAAAUGGCGAGCUUCCGUAAAAUCUCUCACCCCAAGUACAGCAGAAGAAGCACCUUCUUCACCUUCUGCCACUCGUCGCAGCACGGGGCUUUGCUUUCACCUCCGACUCCUGCACCAUUUUCAGCAACAACAAAAACAUAUCAUCACAGUCGACAUCUCCAGUCUAUGGUUUAGCAAAAGAGUAAAUGAAAUAUUGCACCCACCUGUGGCAAAUGGAGAAAGAUGCUGGUUUUUGCCGUUGCUGGAUUGUGGUUUUCAGCACCUUUGCUCCAGUCAUAACAAACCUGAAGCACAAAUGAUCGCAAGUACAUCAACACACCAAAUUUACUCCUCUUAGAUUAUGAUGCUGACUGGUCAAAGAUAUCAGAUACAUACCGCAUAUGCGUAUAUAGAGCCAUCAUUGUUAAAUGCACUGCAUGUUAUUGGCUGAUUGCACCUUGACAUAGCCUACAUACAUGAUAAACACAACAAAUUAGAUAUUAUGAUACUGUUCAACCAAACCCCAGAAUCUGAAAAUGAAGCAUCACAUUCAUCAGGUUCCAUUACUAGAUAAACAAGUGUAUACCUUUACGUCCAACCCCUGAAAUAAAUUAUAUCAGUCACAUCCAAAAAUAAGUGUCUUCCCUCAAAUCAGGGUUAAAAGGAUAUAGACAUUGGUGAUUUCCUAGUACCAUAAAAGUUGAAAAGGAGAAAACUAUCGAGCUAUCGAGUCUUGGGGACUUGUGGAAAACUAGCACAAACCUUUAGCCUCUGUUUGCUGUCCUUAUCCCAGAAAUUAAAAGCACCAUCAGAUCCUGCUGUUGCAAACGUAUGGUGCACCUGGAUAUGGAGAAAUAAGAUUUCAAACUAAUGUCAGAAAAGAAAAGCUGACAUCAUAUACUAAAUGACUUACUACUUCGUUGAAACAACAAUUCAAAACUCAUGAGUAGAGAGGUAAAGAGUACGAGAAUUAAAUGUGAAAGAUCUUACCGGAUGGAAGUUCAAGGAGUUCACUGAGUAGAUGUCAUUUGAUUCUCUGUGGCACUUAAAAGUGAAGUUUUUACCCUGCUGAGCAUCAUCAAGAUGGUGUACACCAACUCUUCCUUCUAUCGAACCAACCUGCAUGAGUAUCAGUUACACAGUUGAACAUAUUAUACUUUGCUCUUGAAAUAAUUAAGUUGUAUAACGAGAAGAAAGCAGUCAUAAUAACAGUUGAGGUUCCGAUUUGCACAAUCAUGGCACCAUAACAUAGAUACGAUUGGCCCAUCACAUCGAUACGAUUUAAAUGGUUCGAAUCAAAUCUCUAAGAGCCUAAUAUUGGCAAAUUUUUAGGUUCGAAGGACAUCCCAGUAAGAAUAGAAAUGACGAUGAGAAACUUAAAUGCAUACCAAAAAUCCUUGCUGGUCAGGGAAUGCAGCUACACAUCUUGUCUGAUACUUCAGUGGCGAAGGAAUUCUCUUGAAUUCGGCCUGUCAAGAUUGCAAAUACAUAAAUAAGAACAAAGUACGACAUUAAAUUAGAGAAAACAAUAGAACUCCUGAAAAUCCACUAUUAAUCAUAUACUGAGUUCUCCCAUGCUGCGUUACCUGUUAGUAGUGAGUGCAUAAAACCAAUUUUACCUACUUAUCUUUUGAGAGCUAGUGCAACUAAAAAAAGGGACAAGUUACCUGAGGAUUUUGCAGGUUGAAGACUACGAGGUUCCUGUCUGCAGUACCCACAACCAUAAGUGGGUGGCGCACCGACAUAGAAUAACAACGAUCAGGAAGCUGCUGAGUAUGAACUGGAUUUGGCUGUCUCGUAUCCCAGUAUCUGUUUAUAUCGUCAGAUAAAUCUAGCCAUUAGAUUCAUAUAUUAACUAGUAAUAAGUGUAUUAUGAAAGAAAAUAAACUACUUAGCAACAAAGAAUAAGAUCAGAGAGAGCCUUACUUCAAGGUCUUAUCCCAACUGCCUGACACUAAGAGGCUCAUCUCAGGGAUCCAAGCUACUUCUUUAACUGGUGCGUCAUGCAUGGCUACAGUCACAGCUUGGCCUCCUGAGAGUAACGGCCACAUCUUAACUUGUUUGUCACAGCCGCCGGAGAAAACAGUAGUUCCAUCAUCCUUCCAGGCAGAGCACAACACCUAAAAACACAACAAAAGGCAGCAAGAAGAAGAAAUUUCAUUAGAAUUCCAAUAGAAAUUCAAGCAAUAGGUUUAGACAAUGGUUUGACAUCAAGAUAUUACCGGCUGGUCAUGUGACAUUGAUGCCUUGGGCGCACUAGUUGCAGUGCUGGCAUUCCUUGAGAUUUCCCAACAUCGCACCUGCGUCAUUAUUCUAGAUUUGAGAAUGCUAUAACAUUUGCAUACAAAAACUAGAAAGAAAACGAUUGUAGCAUUUGGUUAAAUGCUUGGAAAUUGAUUAAUAAGUUUUAGGCACAUUGUUCCUCCUUUGAUGAAAGAUGAAGUUACAUUAAAGGUGAACAACAGAUCCAUGAAAGGGUACAGGUAUACGGAAAAGACAGCAGAAACAAUAGAACUUCUCAAUCAGGCACAUUGUUCCUUUGAUUAGUUACUCCAUCAGUAAAUUUCCAGGAGCUCAACAGGGCGGAAUCAGAGUAAUAUAAACCAGAAAAUUUGUAACAAAAACGUAUUUGAGUUCGAGAAACCUGAUUAUCCCACGAAGUAGCCACCAAGUGGUUUGCCUUAGGACUGAAGCAGAGACUGGAAACGGAGUCCGUCGGGGGCUGAAUCACCUAAAACAACAUCCAAACAAGACGGAUUAUUAUAAGGAAUAAGGCAAGCAAUCCUAAAAAUAAAGCGAACAUCUCUUAAACCCUAAAACAAGAAUGUCACAUUUUGCAAAACUUGGCAUCUCAGAUACAUACACGCAGCAAAACCUAGUUCAAAACUAACAGCAACAAGAAAAAGGACUAUCAAGCUUAUUGAUCACAGAAAGACGUAUACUAGGUAGGGGAAUGGGUGAAAGCUUCUCCGAAGUCACAUUAUAUCGAUACUUAACCAGCGGAUAGAAAUGCCGAGGUAAAGAAGAGAUAGGAACGAGGAAUUUACCUCAAAGGAUUUGUUCGGAUUAGUGUUUCCGGCGGAGGCUGCACCGAAGGUCGCCAUUAGAGACGGCAGGGGAGUCCCAAGAAGAUGGCAGGAAUCAACGAAGCUUAAUCGAGUUUGGGAAAAUAAAGGGAGGGAAAUCGGGAAUGAGUCUCGAGAAGUUGCUGUCAACGGCAAAUAUAUGACACAGAGUGGGCGUACAGUUAAAGUCGACUUUGUUUCACUCGCGUACCGUUAAAGUCCGACUUGCAGCAAACGCGACUCCUCCUUCAGAAGAUGGGCCUAACGGCAAGAGCAACAGAGACAGCCCAUUCAAAUGAAAUGGGCCUAUUUGAUUUUAUUUGGGCCUCCGCCCAGUAUGUUUUCCAUUGCUUGCCUCUUUGAAUUUUGAAACAACUUCGAAGCUUUCUGAAAUUCGAUUCCAUUCCGAAAACAAAUCGAAGAAGAGACGCGGCGGCGACGACUACGACUACAAGACCCGCCUAAGACUUUAAAUACUUGUUCUGUAUUGAAAGGAAGAUCCUGUACUUGCUCCCCUGCGGGAACAGACUCCGAAGUUUAACCACCUAUAGUGAUGAUCCUUUAGAAUUCGAGUCUCCUGUCGAGAAGUCAUGGCCUUCCGGAGUUGCUGAUCGGGAAAACAUGGCAAGUACGAUGUUUCGCGCUAGGCUUACCUUGGCGCGAUUGAAGCACCGUCAACUCUGCACCGGCACAGCUAAGCCCAACAACAAGAAGAAGGGAAUCGGUGGUGACAAUGGCGGUGAUGGUAACAAGCAACCGUCGAGUGUUUCCAGAUACAAUGAAACGUACAGCCAGCUGGGAAAGCUCGACUUUAUGACAGCCGCCAAGAUCCUCUUCACUGAGCCUCCAAAGAAGAAGUUUGGGUAACUUUAUCUCUCUCUUCUUAUGGUCGAUCAGAAGUUGUUGUUUUCCUAUUUGGUGUUGUUUGGGUAACUUUGAGACAUUUUGUCGAACACGUUCUGUGCUCGUGACUACUGGUAAAAUUUUAAAAUGUGUUGAUUGUUUCCCGUUGAGAACAUAGUACAUUGCUGCAUUAGAUAUUGGUUUGAUUCAGCUGUCAUUUCAUACUUGUUUCUCUUGGUGAUGCUUCCUAGUGAUGGAUCAAUUUGUUCCGACUUGUAGCUUAGUAGGUUAUAUCUCUGCAUCAAGAAUAUGGUCCGCUUGCAUCGACUGAUCUGAGAAUGGUUCCUGCUUUUUGUAAAUACAUGCUAUUAGAGGCAUGCCUGAGUUGCUAGAGCUUUUGAUGAUUAUUGGCAGUAGACUAGUAUUAAGGUAACAUACCUAAUGGCCUUCCAAUUUGAAUUACAGCAAUUUCUGCUUUGUUAUUAGUUAUAUUCAUGAGAGCAUGUAUAUUAGCUCUCCAUAUCUCCUUAGCUACUCCUAGAAAGACUUCAGUUAUCACUUUGUUUGAUCAGAAAUAUGCAUCAAUGUCAGGACUUUGUGCAAAUGUUUUUGACCCUGAUUCAAAAGUAUAAUACAUAGAUAGCCUAGUAACUAUCUUCAGCUCACGGAGAACUUUACUAUCACACUCGGAUCUUGAAUUUCAAUUGUAAUUUUCACCAAUUCCUCUGUUUGCCACUGGGAACGUACUAGGCGAUGGUUUUGUUAAUAAAUCGUUUUCUUGUUAAUUGAACAUAACUUAGGUUUUUGGGCGCUGAUCCAACUUCCUUAAUUUGUUUUGACGUUGAAUGUAGAGUGAAUUGAUAGCCUCGCUCAAGCAGGAUUCUUUAUAGACUAAUCUCUUUGAUUUUGGGAAUUUGACAAGAGGAACAGUUCCUUGUAUCUCUAUGGGCAAUUUGAUGGAUAAGUUAGUUGAUCAGUGUAAUAGUUAUAUCUUUAACCUAAUCACUUCAUCUCAGUUUCAGGAACAUCUGCUUACUUACAUCCAUCUUGUUUCAGGCUUGAUUUUCACCUGGUACAACUAUUCUUUGUCUGCUUGCCAUCAUUGGGUAUAUAUCAAUCCACAAACUUCUCCACAUUCGCUCUUUCUUUACUUGAAUUCUGUGUCUGGUUAGUUUUCUGAUGUCUAAUGACCGUGUUUCUCUGUAUACAGCUGUGUAUUUGGUGGCCAUGUAUUCUCGUCGUGAAAUGGAGAAAUUUGAAACGGUAACUUAAGAACCUUAUGCUGCAGUGACAACCAAUUUUCUUCUCCGCUGCGAAUCCUGUCUUCUGUAGAGAGCAACUCACUAAUGAUUUAUCAAUGGAAGCUUUAAGCAUUCAAUCUUUCCUUAUUGUGUGUUGCUACAUGAACAAUACCAGGAUUUCCAGCACAAAAAGAAGAAAGAAGAAGAGAUGAAAGCAAAAGAAGAUGAGCAGAAAGCGAAUGAAUUAGAAGAGAGGUCAAAUGCUGCUCUAUCAGAGAUGAAAACGAGAUUGGAGCAACUAGAAGUGGCCGUCAAGGAAAUUGUGGUUGAUAAAAAGAAAGGUAGCACCAAUGAAGAUCAGCACGUUUCAAAAACCCAGUCAGGAACACCUUCCAAGUAAGUCGAAUAUGCUCGAAGCAAAGAGAUAUGUUCUUCCGGGAAAGCUUUUGGAGCAAACUUCGUUCAUACAAGGAAAAAAGGAGCAAGCUUCUGGUUUGCUGAACUCAAGUCCUGUAAAUCCUUAGGGCAAGAAUUAAGAUCGGUGGUUCGAUGUGAAUGUAGGUAAAUCUGGAGCAAAAUUUUGGGUGGUGUGUCAUGCUUAGGUGAGAAGCAACUUGGAAAUGGUGGAUCAUGUCUUUGUUUCCGUGAAGUUUGGAAUUGUUCAAAGUUGAAACUAGAGAUAAGAUCAGAUUUGUGGAUUUGACUUCCUGGCAAGCUUGAACAGCGAAGCAAGGUGUUGGGCCAAAUCAGUAAUCAGAAUGAGAUUUUUCUUAUGAUAUUUGGUUUGACCUCACAUGUUUAUGAAGAAGUGUUUCGGCGUGGACUCUAUCUAUUACUUCUUCGCUACCCAAUCUUGACUCCCCUCAACCUAGCUGAUUUUUUUUUAUCUUUUGAUAGUCCAAGCAGUAACAUUUAAAUCAGUGAAUGAAGAUUAUCGACAAAACUCUUGAGAAAUAAAAGUAACGAGUGUCACAAAAAAGACGUAUUGAAUGAAGAUGAGUCGUAGAAGUAGAUGUCAAGAUCAAGAGGUGUCCCCUGAUAAUAGCCCUCCAAUGGACAGUCGACGAGCAGAGAUGCUUGAGAAAACUGCUCGGCAUCCUCUCGAAGAGCCCCAGAAAAUCCAACUGGACCCAACUUCAAGACUUGUUAAUAAAUCACACCGUUGAAUAGAUAAUAUAAGAGACAUUCAUGCAGAGUAGUCAAUACAAAAGAGACUCGGCAGUACACAUCUGCAGGGAUUCAUAUACGAAAGAAGGAACGAACCCUCCUUGUCUCUGACGAUAGUGGGUUGGAAUUCCAACUGUGGACAGUGUUAUUAGCGACCGAGUAUUGCAACCAAAGAAGGCAAAAGAAAAAAGACAGAUUUAAAGGUGAAAAAAGAUUGAAAAAGAAGACGAAGGAGAAGUCAACAUCUCACCAACUUCCUUGUUUGUUGGGUUUGGGGGGAAGGUGGCGAGGAAAGUGGCGGGGCACGGUGGUAAUCAUCCCAUCUCCGCCGGCCAAUCUUUGGGAUUAGAUAGCCUAUGAACAAACGUGCGGGACCUCAUCAUUUCCCACGUGGCAGUAGCUAAAUGGUCAAUCUCAUCAGCCGGGAGUAGGUGAAGGACACUAACAGCACAGUACUCCAUCCAUCCCCCAAAUGGGCCCCACUCAAGAAUAUGUUGAAGAGUUAACUUAAUACACACUUUAGCCCCUUUACUAUUCAAAGUUUACUAACACCUCCUAUUAUGUUUUGAUUUACUCCUCUUACUCUCACUACCAUUAGUCUCAAUAUGUUUUGUCCCUCGUGUAGUGACACUUAAAACUCUAUUUUAUCCAACGGUUCGACAUUUUUUUCAUUUCUCAUUAUAUUUGGCCAAUUUUGUAAUAUCUUUUGCUGUAUAUCACAAAUUAACAAAAAAAUUCUAUCCUUUUAGUUUUUCCAUCCAUUUAUCAUUACAAUAUUAAUAAUAAUACCAAAAUUAAUUGAGGAAAAGUAUAUAAAUUUUAUAUUAAUAAAUGAAUAUAGUUAUUAUUUUGUUAUAUUUUUAUUUACGUGGAAUAAGGGAUAUUGCAAUCAUCCGCCAUGUAACAACACUGGUUGACCAGACAUGUUGAGUGAAAAAAAAGUAACAAUAGAUGGUAAAAAAAACUGACAGAUGGGCUUGUUUGUUACGAUUUUUCAAAGUAAAAGAGAUUAUUUCGAUCAAAACAUAACAGGAGACAUCGUUUGUUAAGUUUACGUAGUAUAGGGGCCAAAAUGCUAUUAACCAAAUAAGAAACAAUAAUAAAUAAAGUGUUAAUAAUAAUAACCACUCCACCAGCCAUUUCCCCCCACUAUUAAUUAUUAUUUNNNNNNNNNNNNNNNNNNNNNNNNNNNNNNNNNNNNNNNNNNNNNNNNNNNNNNNNNAUUAUUAUUUAUUAGUUUAUUUUUAUAUAUCUGCCCAUCUACUAUAUUUUGGUCAAAUAGAUGCCAUUUCAUAAAAAAUUAUAUAUACAAGUUUGGAUUUAAACCACUUGCCUGCCAUGUGGACCGUCCAUUUUCUCUCCCCCCCCCCCCCCCCUCAAAAACAAAAAAAUAAAACCACACGCUAAGCUAACUCGGAGCCAAAGGACCAAACCUCAAACCAAAUUCCCACCGGCCGUAUUUCUGCAACUCAAACCUCUCAAUCUGAUAGCUAGCUAGCUGCUGAUCGCCGCAUCUUCAGUUCUCCUGUCAGCUUCAGGUAAUAUUGAUCAACUUUUCUACAACCGACCGUCUACUUCACCUCCUCGAUGUUUAACGAUUUGAGAAAGGAAACAUAUGUGAAUCUCUGCAAGAGGUAGAUUCGUUACUCAAUUUUUUUUUUUAUGUAACUUUGUACGAUUCGUAUAUAUGAUGGUGGAAUAAAGACGACAUACAUGAAUAACUAGAUGGAGAAUUUUGGUGAUUGGAAAAAAAACAAUGUUGAGAGAUUGUGGUGGUGAUGGUUAGGUGAUGAUGGAAAGCGAGCGUGUACAUUUAGAAGGUUCAAAUUGUCAUAAUUAAUAUGUCGAGUGGUCCAUUUUGUUACUUUUGAAAUGUGUAUUGGAGUAGAAGUGAAAUAAUAAAAAAAAGGAAAAAAUAGCAGAGUUGGUAAUAGAUUAAAUUAAGAAAAAUACGGAGAAAUCGAGAUGCCUUGUAUCUGAAAAAGUAAUGAAGAACAGACAGCAGCCUGCCACCUGUCCUUUUCAUUUUCAAUUUUUGUAAAUCAGACCAACUUGCUCUUUCUAAUACGUCUCUAUAUAUACAUUCACGUUCCGCAGACCAGAAUAUCAAAUCUGAAAAAAUGAAAAUCUCCGUCAAAGAAUCGACGAUGGUCCAGCCGGCGGAGGAGACCCCCAACGUGGGACUCUGGAACGCCAACGUUGACCUUGUGGUCCCCAGGUUUCACACCCCAAGCGUUUACUUCUACCGGCCGACUGGAGCGGCCGAUUUCUUCGAUCCCGACGCCAUCAAGCGGAGGAUGGGGAGAGCNNNNNNNNNNNNNNNNNNNNNNNNNNNNNNNNNNNNNNNNNNNNNNNNNNNNNNNNNNNNNNNNUUGAGAUCAACUGUAAUGCGGAAGGUGUUCUGUUUGUGGUCGCGGAGACUACCUCUGUGAUCGAUGAUUUCGGGGACUUUGCUCCCACUUUGGAGCUCCGGCAGCUUAUUCCGGCUGUGGAUUACUCCGGCGGGAUCUCUACUUAUCCUCUCUUGGUUCUCCAGGUAAUUAUCUAAUUAACAUAUUGGUCCGAUUAGACUGCUUAUUCUUUCAGUAUUCAAUUUUGCAUUUAAUUAUUGGAUAAUGAGUCUGGAAGUUAAAUUCGGUGUUUAUCAUGUCCGAACCGAAAUAUUUAGGCAAAGGUAAACCAAAAACCGAAUGUGGAAAUUCAGUAACCAAAAAGUGUUUAAAUUUUCGAGUAAUUUGGUUUUGUUUCGAUCAUUAUUUCGGUUUUUUUGUAUACCAAGUAACCAUAUGAGCAAAUGUUUGUUUUAUUUUAUUUUAUUCAUACCGAACCAAAUCAAACUUUUCUUCUUGAUUAAUACAACCAUGGAUGAAUUAAUUAAUCAAUCAAGCAUUUACUUACAGUAGAGCGAUCUCUAAUUUUACUCAAUACUAAAAAAAAUUCAGGUGACAUACUUCAAGUGCGGCGGAGUCUCACUGGGAGUCGGGAUGCAACACCAUGCCGCCGACGGCUUCUCCGGCCUGCACUUCGUCAACACAUGGUCCGACAUGUCCAGAGGACUCGACCUCACCCUCCCACCAUUCAUCGACAGGACACUCCUCCGUGCUCGGGACCCGCCCCGACCCGCUUUCCAGCACAUCGAGUACCAGCCUCCUCCCUCCUUGAAAACCAUCUCCUCCUCCGCCACCGCUGCAUCCGAUUCCGACGCAGUGAAAGCCUCCGACGCCGGCGUCAAGCCUCUGAAAGCCUCCGACGCCGGCGUCACGCCGCCAGCAGCUGUGUCGAUAUUCAAGCUGACCCGGGACGAGCUCAACGCCCUGAAAGCUAAAUCGAAAGAAGCAGGAAACACCAUCAGCUACAGCUCCUAUGAAAUGCUCGCCGGCCACGUCUGGCGGUGCGCCUGCAAAGCAAGGGGACUCGCCGACGACCAAGACACAAAAUUGUACAUCGCCACCGACGGCAGGUCCCGCCUCCGCCCUCCACUCCCCGAGGGAUACUUCGGGAACGUGAUAUUCACGAC
rnacentral:lncRNA from 1 species